rnacentral:lncRNA from 1 species
ACAAAAUCACUUGAAAACAAAAUAGGUGCAGUAAAUUAUUUUGGCAAAAUAUAGCAUGACCAGCCUCUUUUGCAGAGUUGGCAUACACAAUGAAAGUGGAUGAAAAAUGUGAUGUUUAUAGCUUUGGAGUAUUAACAUUGGAAGUAAUGAUGGGAAAGCAUCCUGGCGAUUUCAUCUCAUCUCUGAUGUUUUCUGCUUCCACCUCCUCAUCAUCACCAAGCGGUCACAAUACACUCUUGAAGGAUGUUUUAGACCAGCGCCUGCCACCUCCUGAAAACGAGCUUGCGGACGGUGUGGCACACGUUGCAAAACUAGCGUUUGCUUGCUUGCAGACCGAUCCCCAUUAUCGGCCAACAAUGCGACAAGUUUCUACAGAGCUUACAACUCGUUCGCCACCAUUGCCAAAGCUAUUCUCCACGAUAGAAUUGGAAGAUGAACUGGUUCGCAGGAAUGUUAAAGGUUGAAUUUUUACAUAUACUUUCCUGUCAAGGAUCCAGGAGCUCAGCUGGUAAUAGAGUCCCACACCUUUCAUGAGGUGUUAUUAUCUGUCUUGGAUAUUCAGUCCAAAGUCUUACAUUUCGUCUAUUUAUUGUGUAUAUUAUAUGCAGAAACAAGAAACAGAGUUUUCCCAUUUCGAGCGUAAAUUCGCCAGGUGAAAUAUUUCACAUAUUUUUAGUUUUCUUUAGCAACAAUGGAAGAAAUCAACAUAUUUUCUCCUUUUUUUGUUUUCCAAUAAACGAUAAUGAAUUAUAAUAAGCUCUUGAUUUUAUUUUUUAAUUGGUAAUGAUAAUAAGCUUCUUUCAAUAUUGCCAAAUCAGUAAUACAACUAAAAAUCUUGAUGAUAUAAUAAAAACCACUCCCUUUCAUUUCCACAAUUAAAACAAACUUGUCCUAAAAGAAGUGGCCACUGCUUUCUGUUUUCUUAAAUAAUUGACAAAAUUUCCAAAUUUGAGAUUUCAUAGCGAAUAUCACCAGUUUUUUUUUUUUUUUUCAAAAGAAACUUCACUUCAAGAACGGCAAGCUAUAGUUGUCUAGCUACAAGCAAUUGAAUAUUCCUUCUUCUCUGUAACUAUUCAAAAGGAAAUUUUAGACAACAUAUCACGUAACUAUUCAUACACACACACACACACACAUAUAUGCACUCUUGUUGACUGAAAAAGACAACCACAACCAUAGCAUCAUUACCUAAGAAACCUUUCCCUGCUAAUCAGAUUCUUCUCGCAAGCAGGUGGCAAAACAAAAUUUAAUUAUCUAUUAUUCAUAUAUAAUAAAUUAUUUAAUAAUUUAAUUAUAUGUAUCAUGUUUUAAUUUAAAUAUUGUGAUAUCUAUUAUUACUAUAUUUAUUUUAUUUUCUUUAUUAAUUAUUUUCAAACAGAAAUAGUAAUAUCUCUUACACUCAUUAAAAAUACAUAACUCAAAUUUUAUAAAUUUUAAUAGUUUUUCAUAACCGGCGCUUAAAAUUUUUUAUUGAUUAAAAUUGAAUUUAAAUUGAAUAUUAUAAAACUAAAAUAAAAAAUAAAUACUGUAUUUAUUUUCUCGGUAUUUAUUGAAUUUAAAUUCUUAAUUAUUAUUUAUUUUUGAAAAACAAACUAUUUUAUCACUUAAUUUUUUAUAAAAAAUAUUUGCUUAAAAUUAAUAAGGGUGAAAAUAAUACAUAAUUUAACUUUAAUAAUAUCAUAAUGUUUUGACAAUUUGAAGUAUCUUGGUAUUCUUUGAUUUAAUUCGAGAGAUAAUUUUUUGUUUUAUUUGUUUCUGCUUUUACAUGUAGUUCAAGGGAUAUUUUUAGGUUGAAUGGUUGUUUAAAUUGAUGUUAGAGUUUACAUUUUUAAAUUGAAUAAUUAUUUUACAAUAAAUUUAAAACAUGAGGGUGAAUGUGAGAUGAUGUGUAACGACUACCAGACCUCACAACAUCAUCUACUGGAUCUUCAAGUUGAAUUUAUGUUCCCAGAAAUCAAAGAUGACCUUCACAUGCUAUCAGACAAUUUCGCCAUUGACAAUAGCAUCAGUUCAGAGUCUAAUGUAUGGGAAAAAAAUUGUGCAGCAAGGAUUUGGAUCUACCAGUGGAGUUGCUGUUCCCAGAAAUCAAAUAUGGUCUUCUCACGUCAGCAGACAGCCCUUCCAUUGGUAACAGCAUCAGUGCAGCGUGUAAUGCAUUGGAAAAGAAUUGUGAAGCACAAAUUUUGACAUAACAGGGGCAUCAAUUGAUCAGACAAAUCCUGCUCACCACAUGGUACUUAGAAGGAGUAGAAGAAAAGUUAAACUUCAAUCCAAAACCGGCAGCAUUCAAGAAACAGUGCAAAUGAUGGUUCUUGGACAUUGUUGCCUUGUUUAUUCGCCACCUUCAUGACAUCAAAUAUAUGGAAUAGUACUGGCUUCAAUGUUGAUACAGGGGGCUUCAACAACAAUAUCCAUUGUCUGGCAAGGUUUGUUUUUCUUGUCCCGCCAUAUUGUUGAAUUGAUGGGUCUGGAUAUACUCCUGAACACAAGAAGUUCAAUGCUUCUUCGAACAUGUAUUGCAUACGAGCUAUUGAUCUGAAGUCAGUGGCCCAUAACUCGCAUUUCUAUCCAAAUUAUUUUUGAUUGGGUGACUGGCCAUCUCCCAUUUAACUAUCAUAUUUAAAUUCUGAACUGAACCAAGGUCUACUGCAUUUGCUACUAAUCAUGGUAUAUUCUGUUAUGAGGUCUUAAGAGGAAGUAUUUAACUCUUCUUGCCUUCUCUGUCUCACCCGCCGGGAAACUUUAUUCACAGUUAAUUUAGUAGGGUCAUGCAUUUGCCAUUUUUGUACUCCUAGUAAAUGAAAUGGUUUCUAUUAUCCAUUAUUAAUAUUAUAUUUUUCCUUACAAUUGAAUAUUCUUUGCAGGUGCAUGAGUGCUGUGAUUGCUGGCAGUGAGUUAGUGAGAUUGGAACGCGAACAUCAGCAGAGACAACAGUCUCUCUCUAAUGGCCAUCUUGAUGAGGCUUUGGAUCCUGAAAUACAUAGCCGUUUGUCUGCUGAAGCAAGUAUAAAGUCUGGAAUGCAGCUUUUUGUCAAAUUUGCAACUGGUAUUGUGCUAGAUUCUUGGAGUGAAGCCAAUAGGUAAACGUGGAAUGCCUGUCAUGCCCCUCACAUAAAUACACAGACAUGCACACAAGUUGCAUAUUUUCGUCGAUUUUUGCUUGCAUAAAAUCUCAUGGUAAUUAUUUUAAACCACAAGCAUCAUUCCUUAAAAACUCGAGUUAAAUCUCUAGGGUGGCUCCAUCAAUAAUUCUUUCAGUUCAAAUACUGAGAAAGGAAUGUUGAUCUGAAUAGUCUAUUUGAUUAUCUUUAUGACAUUUGUUUCCUUUCUCAUCAUUUCAUGUAUCUCAAUCUCCAUCUCCCCUUUCUGUGCAGAUCUAAUCUUGUAGCAAAGCUGAUUUUCUUGGACCAACUUUGUGAGAUCUCACCUUAUCUUCCAAGAAGCUCCCUCGAAGCCUAUGUUCCGUACGCAAUUCUCCGUUCAAUUUAUAGCCAGUACUACUCAAAUUCUCCAUCCAUGCCUCUGGCACUACUAAGUGUCUCAUCCCGCCAUUCACCUGCUGUAUCACUAUCUCACACAUCUCCUGCAGUGAAGCAGCCUCGUGGAGACUCAACACCACAGCAUGGUGUUAAUGAUUCAGGUUAUUUUAAGGGGUCAUCAUCCCAUAACCAGAACCAUUUGUACGAUAUGGAUAGAGGAAGCCUUCGCAGCACGGAUAAUAAACAUCGAAAUGUUCGCCGCUCUGGGCCUUUGGAUUAUAGUUCAAGCAGGUCGUAGGCUCAGCUUAUGGGAGCACAGGUCGUAGCCCACUACCACGGUUUGCUGUCUCAAGAUCCGGGCCUUUAAUGUAUAAGUAGAAAACGGUGAAAAUGGCAGGGUCAGGAGUGUUGAUAAAUUAUCAGCUCCUCGUCAAUCAGACAAGUUUUGCACCCUGUAAAUGUCAUAAUUCUUUGUUCUUAUGUUCCUCGUCGCGCUGCACCUAAUCAUAUAAAUGAAUGCCCUUUGCGAGAGGAAGAUGUCGUGAAUUUGGUUGCUCAGGCUGUAGAAUCAGCACUCCUCGACUUGUGCCAUUUAUGAUACACAAGCAGAUAGAAUUUUAUUAGGUGAAUCAGAUCCAUGGCCACCACAGUAGCCCCACUAUUUUCAGUACUUGAUGUCAUAAUCCAGGUAACCCUAAUUACAUGUCCAUGCUACACCUGAGCUUACAGCUCAAGUGGUACCCUGGCAAAAUAUAUAGCAAUGAUAAGAUAUUUGAUAAUUGUCACUUGCUGCAUCAAUUUCUAUGCCAUCAUUUUCUGAAGAAAAAAAAGGAUUAGAUUCGUAUGAGAUAUGGUAGGGACCAAAAGUUUGCGGUUCUGAUAAGCAGAGGUGUCAAAUUUGAAAUUAGGACAAACCUUAAAUUUACCAUUUGGUAUAUUUUAUUUCUAAAAAAUACAGCUUUUUUAGCUAUGUUGAAUUUAUCUUCAUCACUUCUUGUGACACGACUCUGGAGGUAGAUGUCAAGUAAAUCUAUUAAGAUAUAUUGGUGACGAAUAAUAUUUAACAUAAUGGCUUCAUAAUUCAAUGGCUUCCAUUGUCAAAGCCAUUUUCCAUGGCAGAAUUGAAAGAUGUGAUGAUUCACUCCCUUCAGUAAUAUUUGAAGACUGUUUAUAUAGCAGAUAUACUAAUAUUUGAAGACUGUUUAUAUAGCAGAUAUACUAACAGAAAAACCUCAAGUAAAAUCUUCAAGACAAGUUGAGUAUUGAAAAUACCUCCACACCAAUUUAUCAGUUAGAGAUCUCCUAUACAAGAUGGAAAUGAAUAUACACGCAAAGGAAAAUCGAUGAAAAGUAUUGCAUCACUACUCACUGAUCCUUAUGCAAAGCUGAAUAUGAAACUUAUUAAUUUUGCAGAAUAAUUAUCAUAUGAUGUUCAGCAGCACGUCAUUUGCCAAUACAUUCACAUCUCUCAUAUUUCUUUUAUUUAUUUAUUUAUUUUGAGCAUAUGAAUGUUAUUUGACAGUCACCUCAAUUUGUGGGGUUAGGUUCAUAUCCUACAAACUGUUCCGGGAACAUAAUUGUCAGAGAUUCUAAGAAAAUUGCUCUAAUGUAAAAGAAGAAGAAGAAGAAGAAGAAGAAGAAAAAGAAAGAAAUAAUAAUAAAAUAAAAAGAAAAGCAGGAAAAUCUUGCUUGCGCAAAAUCGCAAGUGAAACAUCAAAUUUUCGUGAGUUUCAUAGCCAAAACACAGCUGCUGAAGAUAACCAAAUACCAUAUUACUGCGUUUGAAAAAAAAAAACAGAAGCUAACGCAGAGCCAAAUACCAUCUAAUAGUCACAAAUCACUCUCUGAGCUGUAAGUUUGUUGGAUUGUUAUGCUUUGCUUUGCCUUUUCUUUUGCCAACAGAACCUUAUCUUGACUUCAUCUGCCUAGUAUCAUUGAUGACGUACUUGAUUUGCUUUUUCUUUAAGAGCUGUUUCUUUGCCUUUUCUUUUGCCAACAAAAUCAAUGGUGGUCAACAUCGAGUUGACUUGUAAAAUAGUAUAGUCAACUUAUAUUUAAUGUAUAAAAUUAGAUUAAAAUUUGAAAAUGAGUAAAAUUGGUUAAACUCAUUUAAUCUUGAUAAAAUUGGUACAUUUGGAUUGAUUUUACAAGUUUGAAAAAAAAGUAUAAAAUUAUAUAAUUUGGUAAUCUCUAUCUUAGCAUUUUUAUUAUUUCAAAUUUAUAUCUUACAAAACUUAUAUAAUUUAAUAAUCAAGAUUUUGAUUUUGACUAUAAUUAUUAUAAUUUUUUUUAAUGAUAUAAGUUAUAUAUCGAUUUUAUUUUUGUAAAAUGAAAAUACCUCUUUAUUUUUAACAGUUCCUUAUAUAAACUACUAAUAUAUCAAUAGACAUAUUCCUUCGUUUUAGUUGUCAAAUAUAUAGAAUAAAAAUUAUAAAUUAGCAUGCUUGAUUCUUGAAGUAAUUAAUAUUAAAUGACCUAUUAAAAUUUGAAAUGACUUGUUUUUUGUAAAUGACGAAGUAAGUGAGUUGAUUUGUCUAAAAAGUAGAGCAAUCAAUGUGAAAAAAAUUUAGUGUUUAGACUUUUCUAUUAUUUAUUUCAUUUUCAUUUUAAUUAUGCUAUAGUGUUAAUUAAUAUUUGACUGAAAUUAUUAAUAUAUAAUUAGUUAAAAUAUUUUAUUUUUUAUUUUAUGAUUUGAAUUUAUAAUUUGAGUCUAUUUAUUAUAUAUUCCGUGUCGUGUUAAAAAAAUAUUUUUAACAACCUGACAACCUUACUUUUGUGGGUAUGUCAUUUAGAAAUAUGAAUCACAAUAAUGGAAGAAUGCAAAUUCCAAAUCUGAGAAAUCAAAGAAAAUGUCACUGUGCUUGAAUUCCAAGCCAAGGAGACCAAAACGUCAACUCUGGCAACAAUGGCAAAAUAUCAAAGAAAAUGUAUUCAGCCUCUAUAAUGGAUGCAUUAUAUAAUGUCACUGUGCUUGGACCUGAGGCCAAAUGUGUAAAGAGCUUUCCAAAUGUUUAUUGGAUGCAUUUGUCUGAGUUCUAUAUAUCCCUCCAUUUGAUCUAGUGGGAGACACAUAAAAUGUUUAAAUUUUAUUUAUUAAAGUUUUGUUUUUAUUGAAAGGUUAUUAAAAAAAUAGAAAACUUUAAUAAUACCGAAUAAAUUAUUAGUCUUGGUUUUGCACUUUUGCAUUUUUUUCUCUCGUGAUUGCACCUUUAUUGGUAUAAAUUAUUCGCCCUAUCCUAAAGUCUUGUACGUAGUGGGAUGACUUGUGAUUGACUUGAAUAUCUACAGCUCAGUACUGGCGGCCAAUGCUCCUAAUUUUCUUUCUGCAAGUUUUCAUCCAAUAUUCUUUGCGCUAAUUGUUUCUCUAAAAAAAUUAACAGAAAAAGAUAACAAAAUAAAGAAAUCUUCCAAAGAAACUUUUCAAAGUGGAUUCAUUUGAUUGAUAAAAGACCAAAGAAAGGAAGAAGGAUAUAACAAAAACAUUAACAUCGUGAAUGGAAGACAUCACCGUAGGUCCAUCCAUAGCUGAAACUAGAAGACAUCCAAGAAUGGAAGAAGCUGGUCUAGUGAUAAAAAUCUGGAAUUAAAAGGUUUGCUUCCCCUAUAAUUUCAGGUUCAAGCCCUAUAAUUUUUAAUAUUGAUGGUUACUGGAAGCUUAUUUGGUUGAUAACUUUAAGGCCCCUGAGUAUUAGUCGAGGAGCAUGCAAGCUGGUCCGGACACCUCACGUGAAUUAAAAAAAAAAUAAAAAAUGGACUUGACCAGUCCGAGUUUUAACUGGUCAAGUCUUAGGUUUGCUUUCUAAUGGUCACGAGUUCGAGUUUUUUUAAAACUACUGAAAACUUAUAUUAUCAUUAGUUUCAGAGUUCAUAAAAUUAGUCGAAAUACAUAUAAAUUGACCCGAAAACCAAGUUAGUAGCAAUAAUAAUAAAAAAAGAAUGGAAGACAUCCAAUUAAGACGCCGCUGUCUAUCUUCGAUCAUGACCAAGACAAACGAAUUCCUGCAAAAAGGGUAUUCCAACCUUAUGGCUCCCAUUAUAUACGUAUGCAGGGCUAAUCAUUUUAUACAUCCUCCUUAAGAAAGUAAACAACCAAGGCCAUGGCUUCCCAAAUCUUGCUCUUAUCCAUACCUUCCUUGUUUUUUUCCUUCCUUGCUUAUGCUUCCUUCUUUACUUCUUUUGCUUACUCGGCUGCCGGAGCUGAAAUAGCAAAUGGAAGGAAGGAAGCAGAAGCUCUUCUAGAAUGGAAAGUCAGUCUUGACAACCGAAGCCAGUCUCUCCUGUCUUCAUGGGCUGGAGACAGCCCUUGCAACUGGGUCGGAAUCAGUUGCGACAAGUCUGGUAGUGUUACCAACAUAAGCCUGCCUAAUUCUAGAUUGAGAGGCAGGCUUAAUAGUCUCAGAUUCUCUUCCUUUCCUAACUUGAUUGUGCUUAUCCUUCGCAACAACUCCCUCUAUGGGUCCGUUCCUUCACAUAUAGGUAACCUUUCUAACCUCUCCAUCCUUGACUUGUCUUACAAUAGCAUUUCUGGCAACAUUCCAUCAGAAAUAAGCACAAUGAAAAGCAUUAGAGUGUUUACCCUGUCUGUAAACCAUAUCGGUGGCUCCAUCCCUAAUGAAAUAGGAAUGUUGAGUUCACUUUCUCAAAUAAUUUGGCAUGAAAAUGAUCUCGGAGGAUUAGUGCAUGCGUCUAUAAGCAAUUUGAGCCACUUAACUGAUCUUUAUCUCAAUGGAAAUCAACUUUCUGGUGGCAUACCACCAGAAGUUGGAAAAUUGAGAUCUCUUGAUUUGCUUGAUUUGUCAAAUAACAACCUUAGUGGUGUUCUUCCUACGUCCAUAGGAAACUUAAGCAACUUGUCUUUUCUUUACCUUUACAAAAACAACUCUCUGGUUUCUUACCUAGAGAAGUAGGGCUUGAAGACCUAUUAACCCUUCAGUUGUCCGAUAAUAAUUUUGAAGGUCCAAUCCCUACUUCCAUAGGAAAUAUGAAAUCUCUCAAUUUCCUUCAAUUAAAACAAAAUUUUCUCACUGGUAAAAUACCUGCGUCUAUUGGAAACCUCACGAGAUAUCUCACUUCUUUAGAUUUGUCAUAUAAUAAUCUAAAUGGUACAAUACCAGCAUCUUUAGGAAAUUUAAUAAUCUUAUCUAAACUUCUCCUUGCGAAUAACAGUCUUUUUGGUCCCAUUCCUCCAGAAAUGAACAAUCUUACACAUUUAUAUUUGUUACAAAUAUAUUCUAAUAGAUUGUCUGGUAAUCUACCACGAGAUGUGUGCCUUGGUGGAUUACUUUCAUAUUUUAGUGCGUUGGGCAAUUAUUUCACGGGACCUAUCCCAAAAAGCUUGAGAAAUUGCAGCAGCUUGUUGAGACUCAGACUUGAGAGAAACCAGCUUAGUGGAAACAUAUCUGAAGCUUUUGGCACACAUCCCUAUUUGUACUACAUGGGUUUGAGUGAUAAUGAAUUGCAUGGUGAACUUUCAUGGAAAUGGGAUCAGUUUAACAAUCUGACAGUCUUCAAAAUUUCUGGAAACAAAAUCUCUGGAAUAAUACCAGCUGCUCUUGGAAAGGCAACUCAUCUACAAGUUCUUGACCUCUCGUCAAAUCAACUAGUUGGGAGAAUUCCAAAAGAAUUGGGAAAUUUAAAGUUAAUUGAACUUGCACUCAACGAUAACAACUUUCAGGUGAUAUUCCUUUCGAUUUCACAUCGCUAUCUGAUCUCGAAAGGCUUGACCUGGCCGCGAACAAUUUUAGUGCAACAAUUCUUAAACAGCUUGGCAACUGCUCAAAACUGAUAUUCUUGAAUAUGAGCAAGAAUAGAUUCACAGGGAAUAUUCCUGCUGAGAUGGGGUCUUUACAGUCUCUUCAAAGUCUUGAUCUCAGUUGGAAUUCCCUGAUGGGAGAUAUAGCACCGGAGCUUGGACAGCUGCAGCAGCUAGAGUUUCUGAACCUCUCCCACAAUAUGCUGUCUGGUCUAAUUCCAACCAGUUUUAGUAGACUGCAAGGCCUCACUAAAGUGGAUGUAUCCUAUAACAAGCUAGAGGGUCUCAUUCCUGACAUCAAAGCCUUUCGCGAGGCACCAUUUGAAGCAAUUUGCAACAACACCAACCUGUGUGGGAAUGCUACCGGUUUGGAGGCUUGUUCUGUUCUCAUGAAAAACAAAACUGUGCACAAGAAGGGCCCCAAAGUUGUCUUUUUGACAGUAUUUUCUCUGCUGGGUAGUUUGUUGGGCCUGAUUGUAGGAUUUCUUAUCUUUUUCCAAAGCAGAAGAAAGAAAAGGUUAAUGGAAACACCUCAAAGAGAUGUUCACGCGAGAUGGUGCCCUGAAGGGGAACUGCGCUACGAGGACAUCAUUGAGGCUACUGAGGAAUUCGACUCCAAAUAUUGCAUUGGUACUGGAGGGUAUGGAGUUGUUUACAAAGCUGCACUUCCAUCAGAACAAGUCGUUGCCGUGAAGAAGUUGCACCGAACACCAGAAGUUGAGAUGAGCAGCUUGAAAGCUUUUAGAAGCGAGAUUGAUGUCUUAAUGGGUAUACGGCAUCGAAAUAUUGUGAAGCUGUAUGGUUUCUGCUCGCAUGCCAAACACUCAUUUUUGGUAUAUGAAUUUGUGGAAAGGGGAAGUUUAAGAAAGGUACUGAACGACAAGGAACAAGCAGGAAAGAUGGAUUGGGAUAAAAGGAUGAAUCUUAUCAAAGGCGUAGCCAAUGCUUUAUCCUACAUGCACCAUGACUGCUCCCCUCCGAUUAUUCAUAGAGACAUUUCCAGCAACAAUGUUCUUUUGGAUUCAGAAUAUGAGGCUCGUGUCUCUGACUUCGGCACAGCGAGGAUCUUAAUGCCUGACUCAUCCAAUUGGACAUCAUUUGCUGGCACCUUUGGGUAUACAGCUCCAGGUAUGAAGUUAAGUUUCAAUAUCACCUUCUAUAGUAGGUUAGUUUACAAAAUCACUUGAAAACAAAAUAGCUGCAGUAAAUUAGUUUGGCAAAAUAUAGCAUGACCAGCCUCUUUUACAGAGUUGGCAUACACAAUGAAAGUAGAUGAAAAAUGUGAUGUUUAUAGCUUUGGAGUAUUAACAUUGGAAGUAACGAUGGGAAAGCAUACUGGCGAUUUCAUCUCAUCUCUGAUGUUUUCUGCUUCCACCUCCUCAUCAUCAUCAAGCGGUCACAAUACACUCUUGAAGGAUGUUUUAGACCAGCGCCUGCCACCUCCUGAAAACGAGCUUGCGGACGGUGUGGCACACGUUGCAAAACUAGCGUUUGCUUGCUUGCAGACCGAUCCCCAUUAUCGGCCAACAAUGCGACAAGUUUCUACAGAGCUUACAACUCGUUCGCCACCAUUGCCAAAGCUAUUAUCCACGAUAGAAUUGGAAGAUGAACUGGUUCGCAGGAAUGUUAAGGGUUGAAUUUUUACAUAUACUUUCCUGUCAAGGAUCCAGUAGCUCAGCUGGUAAUAGAGUCCCACACCUUUCAUGAGGUGUUAUUAUCUGUCUUGGAUAUUCAGUCCAAAGUCUUACAUUUCGUCUAUUUAUUAUGUAUAUUAUAUGCAGAAACAAGAAACAGAGUUUUCCCCUUUCGAGCGUAAAUUCGCCAGGUGAAAUAUUUCACAUAUUUUUAGUUUUCUUUAGCAACAAUGGAAGAAAUCAACAUAUUUUCUCCUUUUUUUGUUUUCCAAUAAACGAUAAUGAAUUAUAAUAAGUAUCAUAACUCAAUUUUUGAUCAUUGUAUCUUUAUUAUUAUUUUAUUAAAAUAAAAAAUUGAUGAAAAAAAUAAUGAUAAUGAAAAAAUAAAAUAAAUAAAUGAAGUAUAAUUUUUGGGUUAAGGGCAAUAUGAAUGGAAAUUUUGGGGUUUAAUUAAACUUUGUAAUUAAUCUAAUUAAGCUUGAAAUUAAUUUAUUUAAUCCAAUUAAGAGUUUAAUUGGAGAAUUGAUAAAUUUUUAGACUUAAUUAAGCUUGAAAUUAAGUUAAUUCAUCCAAUCAAGGAUUUAAUUGGAGAAUUAAUAAGUUCUGAGACUUAAUUAAGCUUGGAAUUAAUUUAAUUAAUCCAGUUAAGGGUUUAAUUGAAGAAUUGAUAAGUUUGGAGACUUAAUUAAGAUUGUAAUUAAUUUUAUUAAUUCAAUCAGGGGUUUAAUUAGAGAAUUGAUAAGUUUUAGACUUAAUUGGACUUUGGAUUUAAUUAAAUUAACUUAAUCAGGGGCUUAAUUGAAGAACUAUUAAGGUUUGGGGUUCAAAUUUCGAAAUUAAAAUUCCAAGGACUACAUUGGAAAAGCGCAGAAAUAAAGGGGUCCAAAGUUAAAUUUUAUCCAGGGGCUUGAUUUCACGAUUUGAGAAUUCCAAGGACCAAAAUUCAAAUGGCCAUUGAACACAGCACUGUUCAUCUUCUUCAACGCUUCAGCUGCCGGCCGCCACCAUUACUCCUGCAAUAACAGUCGAUUAAUUACCUGGUAACGGUGGAAUUCUGUGGCUAUAAAGCCGGAGAAAACAACGAAACAAAAAAAAAGAGGGAGGGAAAAAAGAAAAAAAGCCACGAUCGGCAGAAAACGAAGACAGAGGACGAACCAGAAUAAAGGUGUUUUCCUUGUUUCUUCUCAGAGAACAGAAACGAGAAAAAAUAAACAAAGGAAAAGCGGCAGGGAAAAAACAGAGAGAUCACAGAGAAAGAACGAAACAGAGGUGGGGGAAGUUUUUUUUUCCAGCCACCACACCUACAUAUAUCAUCGUCUUCGUCUGUUUCUUAGCAACCACAGACGGCAAAAAACCAGAGAAACACAGACCGAAAACCAGAGCAAAAAAACGCAAGCCACAUACAGAGCAAAAAACCCAGACCCAAAUUCGAAAAGAGAAGCCAGCAACGCCCUCUGUUCUUCAUCACGAAGACUGAAAAAACCGGGAAAAAACAAAAGAAAAGGAACAGCAGACGAACAGAGGGGAAGAGACUGAGAGGAGGAGGAAGAGAGAAUUCUCCGAGAGUGCUCGAAUUGUUGCUUUCGCCUGCGCCUUCGAAUAGCCAGGUAAGACUUUCUUUUUAUCUUCGUUUCUGCACAUUAGAUUAAAAGAGAAAGAACAGGGGCGAAGGUAAUUUAAUUACCUUCACCCUGUGCAGCGCACGCGUGGUCUGAACCACGCGUGCCUGCAGCCCAACCGGGCCACUGGCUUGGGCCAGUGGCCGGGCCAGGCCCAGCCCUUCCAAAAAACAUAAAAAAUAUAUUAAAAAAAUAAAAAAAUAAAAAAUAAAAAAAUAAAAAAUAUGUAUCAUGAAUAAAAAUAAUAUAAAUUUAUUGGUUUAUUCACUGACGCCAGAGUCAAUAAUAAAAAUACCGGUUUAAAUUUAUAUUAUUUUUAUUCGUUGUAUUUUAUUUUAUUUAGCUAGAAAAAUAAAAAAAAAUAUGUGCAUGCAAAAAAAAAUAAUAAUAAUAAAUUUGUUAUUUAUUUAUUUAUUCACGGAUGCUAGAGUAGGGAAUAAAAAUAUAUUGAUCUAAUUUAAUUUUCGUAGCUACGAAUUUUUACCAACGCAAGAGUUAGAAUUAUUCGAGCUUGAAUAUUCACUAGCGUCAGAGUCAGGAAUAUUAUAAACAAAUCAUCAUAGCAUAAAUUAAUAAACAUUUAACAAUUUAAGAUAAAACACCAAUGCAGUCUGCCUUAGGCAGAACGUUUAAGAGGUGAUAAUAUCUUCCCUUUUACGUAACCAAUCCCGAGCUAUAGAAUCUCUGUUGACCAGUUAGGGUUUCUAGUGACCAUAAUACUAGGUGGUGACUCUUCAAACAAGACCUUUUCCCCUAAAAGAACUGGAUGCCAAAAAUCUAUUCUUUUUCUGUAAUUCAAGAGAAUUAAUUUUUAAGGCCGCCGCAAUGUCGGGUGCGACAAUAAGCUCUUGAUUUUAUUUUUUAAUUGGUAAUGAUAAUAAGCUUCUUUCAAUAUUGCCAAAUCAGUAAUACAACUAAAAAUCUUGAUGAUAUAAUAAAAACCACUCCCUUUAUUUCCACAAUUAAAACAAACUUGUCCUAAAAGAAGUGGCCACUGCUUUCUAUUUUCUUAAAUAAUUGACAAAAUUUCCAAAUUUGAGAUUUCAUAGCGAAUGUCCCCAUUGAUAGGUGAAGCCCAAAGACAAGGUUUUUUUUUUUUUUCAAAAGAAACUUCACUUCAAAAACGGCAAACUAUAGUUGUCUAGCUACAAGCAAUUGAACAUUCCUUCUUCUCUGUAACUAUUCAAAAGGAAAUUUUAGCAUAUCACGUAACGUAUAUAAUAUAUAUAUAUAUAAUUAUAUAUAUAUAUAUAUAUAUAUAAUAUAUAUUAUGCACUCUUUGUGACUGAAAAAGACAACCACAACCAUAGCCAUCACUAAGAAACUUGUCCCUGCUAAUCAGAUUCUUCUCGCAAGCAGGUGGCAAAACAAAAUUUAAUUAUCUAUUAUUCAUAUAUAAUAAAUUAUUUAAUAAUUUAAUUAUAUGUAUCAUGUUUUAAUUUAAAUAUUGUGAUAUCUAUUAUUACUAUAUUUAUUUUAUUUUCUUUAUUAAUUAUUUUCAAACAGAAAUAGUAAUAUCUCUUACACUCAUUAAAAAUACCUAACUCAAAUUUUAUAAAUUUUAAUAGUUUUUCAUAACCGGUGCUUAAAAUUUUUUAUUGAUUAAAAUUGAAUUUAAAAUUGUAUAUUAUAAAACUAAAAUAAAAAAUAAAUACUGCAUUUUUUUUCUCGGUAUUUAUUGAAUUUAAAUUCUUAAUUAUUAUUUAUUUUUUAAAAACAAACUAUUUUAUCACUUAAUUUUUUAUAAAAAAUAUUUGCUUAAAAUUAAUAAGGGUGAAAAUAAUACAUAAUUUAACUUUAAUAAUAUCAUAAUGUUUUGACAAUUUGAAGUAUCUUGGUAUUCAUUGAUUUAAUUCGAGAGAUAAUUUUUUGUUUUAUUUGUUUCUGCUUUUACAUGUAGUUUAAGGGAUAUUUUUAGGUUGAAUGGUUGUUUAAAUUGAUGUUAGAGUUUAGAUUUUUAAAUUGAAUAAUUAUUUUACAUUAAAUUUAAAACGUGAGGGUGAAUGUGAGAUGAUGUGUAACGACUACCAGACCUCACAACAUCAUCUACUGAAUCUACAAGUUGAAUUUAUGUUCCCAGAAAUCAAAGAUGACCUUCACAUGCUAUCAGACAAUUUCGCCAUUGACAAUAGCAUCAGUUCAGAGUCUAAUGUAUGGGAAAAAAAUUGUGCAGCAAGGAUUUGGAUCUACCAGUGGAGUUGCUGUUCCCAGAAAUCAAACAUGGUCUUCUCACGUCAGCAGACAGCCCUUCCAUUGGUAACAGCAUCAGUGCAGCGUGUAAUGCAUUGGAAAAGAAUUGUGAAGCACAAAUUUUGACAUAACAGGGGCAUCAAUUGAUCAGACAAAUCCUGCUCACCACAUGGUACUUAGAAGGAGUAGAAGAAAAGUUAAACUUCAAUCCAAAACCGGCAGCAUUCAAGAAACAGUGGAGCACCAGGAAGAUAGCUCUUCAGAAUCAAUGGAAUCGGGUAUUAAACAGGGGAAUUCCAGGUUUACUAAGCAGAAACAGCCAAAGGAUGCAUAUACUAUGGAGAGAGAUGAAGAGGUUUAGAAUAUGUUGAAUGAUGGGGUAAGAUUGGGUCUGGGUGACAUGCAGGAACUGAAUGUUUUUGCUGAAUCGAUCUGGGAAACUGUGAACAAGGAAUUUGAAAACAUUGAGGCCUUCUCAGGACCUGUGUCUUCUCUUCACUUGUUUGAAAAACCAGCAGAGCAGCUUACUGGGUCGGCCACUGAAGUUGUCUGCAACUGGUACAUAGAAACAUUGUCAAGGAUGUAUCAGGUGCUGGAAUCCUUUUUACACCAAUCCACAAAUGCUUUAAAAGCACGAGGCCUGUUGGUGGAUAUUUUGCAGAGUCUGUCACUGAUCUCAGAGAAUUGCAGGCCUUUGUUCGUGUAUUUGGUGGCUAUGGCGUUGACAGGCUAGACAGAAUGAUGAAAGAGCACACAGCAGCACUCUUGAAUUGCAUUGACACAUCAUUACGGUCAAACCAUGAAGUGUUAGAGGCAGUUGCUGGCAGCAUGCAUUCUGGUGACAGAAUAGAAAGAGAGGCAUGUUCCAGGCAGAUUGUGGACUUGGACACAGUAAUUGGAUUUUGCAUUGAGGGAGGACAUGCACUUGCUUUUGGUCAGCUUCUUGCUGAGGCAGCUGGGGUCGUGCUUGAUGAGGGUGCACCGUUGAUAUAUUCACUACUUUCUGGGGUGGUUAAGCAUAUACCUGAAGAAAUAUCUGAAAAGAAGGAAAUCAGAAGAAUAUGAGGGGUGGCAAACAGUCUUAAUAUAGUUGGAGAUCAUGAUUCAGAAUGGAUCAGAUCAAUUCUAGAGGAUGUUGGGGGUGCAAAUGAUGGUUCUUGGACAUUGUUGCCUUAUUUAUUUGCCACCUUCAUGACAUCAAAUAUAUGGAAUACAACUGGCUUCAAUGUUGAUACAGGGGGCUUCAACAACAAUAUCCAUUGUCUGGCAAGGUUGGUUUUUCUUGUCCCGCCAUAUUGUUGAAUUGAUGGGUCUGGAUAUACUCCUGAACACAAGAAGUUCAAUGCUUCUUCGAACAUGUAUUGCAUACGAGCUAGUGAUCUGAAGUCAGUGGCCCAUACCUGGCAUUUCUAUCCAAAUUAUUUUUGAUUGGGCGACUGGCCGUCUCCCAUUGAAUAUUCUUUGCAGGUGCAUGAGUGCUGUGAUUGCUGGUAGUGAGUUAGUGAGAUUGGAACGUGAACAUCAGCAGAGACAACAGUCUCCCUCUAAUGGCCAUCUUGAUGAGGCUUUGGAUCCUGAAAUACAUAACCGUUUGUUUGCUGAAGCAAGCAUAAAGUCUGCAAUGCAGCUUUUUGUCAAGUUUGCAACUGGUAUUGUGCUCGAUUCUUGGAGUGAAGCCAAUAGGUAAACAUGCAAUGCCUGUCAUGCCCCUCACAUAAAUACACAGAUAUGCACACAAGUUCCAUAUUUUCAUCGAUUUCUGUUUGCAUAAAAUCUCAUGGUAAUUAUUUUAAACCACAAGCAUCAUUCCUUAAAAACUCUGAGUUAAAUCUCUAGGGUGGCUCCAUCAAUAAUUCUUUCAGCUCAAAUACUGAGAAAGGAAUGUUGAUCUGAAUAGUCUAUUUGAUUAUCCUUAUGACCUUUGUUUCCUUUCUCAUCAUUUCAUGCAUCUCAAUCUCAUCUCCCCUUUCUGUGCAGAUCUAAUCUUGUAGCAAAGCUGAUUUUCUUGGACCAACUUUGUGAGAUCUCACCGUAUCUUCCAAGAAACUCCCUCGAAGCCUAUGUUCGUUACGCAAUUCUCCGUUCAAUUUAUAGCCAGUACUACUCAAAUUCUCCAUCCAUGCCUCUGGCACUACCAAGUGUCUCAUCCCGCCAUUCACCUGCUGUAUCACUAUCUCACACAUCUCCUGCAGUGAAGCAGCCUCGUGGAGACUCAACACCACAGCAUGGUGUUAAUGAUUCAGGUUAUUUGAAGGGGUCAUCAUCCCAUAGCCAGAACCAUUUGUACGAUAUGGAUAGAGGAAGCCUUCGCAGCACGGAUAAUAAACAUCGAAAUGUUCGCCGCUCUGGGCCUUUGGAUUAUAGUUCAAGCAGAAAAGUUAAACUUGUCGAAGGCUCAGCUUCUGGGAGCACAGGUCGUAGUCCGCUACCACGGUUUGCUGUCUCAAGAUCCGGGCCUUUAAUGUAUAAGUAGAAAACGGUGAAAAUGGCAGGGUCAGGAGUGUUGAUAAAUUAUCAGCUCCUCGUCAAUCAGACAAGUUUUGCACCCUGUAAAUGUCAUAAUUCUUUGUUCUUAUGUUCCUCGUCGCGUUGCACCUAAUCAUAUAAAUUAAUGCCCUUUGCGAGAGGAAGAUGUUGUGAAUAGGGUUCUCAGCCUGCAGAAUCAGCACUCCUCGACUUGUGCCAUUUAUGAUACACAUGCAGAUAGAAUUUUAUUAGGUGAAUCAGAUCCAUGGCCACCACAGUAGCCCCACUAUUUUCAGUACUUGAUGUCAUAAUCCAGGUAACCCUAAUUACAAGUCCAUGCUACGCCUGAGCUUACAGCUCAAGUGGUACCCUAUCAAAAUAUAUAGCAAUGGUAAGAUAUUUGAUAAUUGUCACUUGCUGCAUCAAUUUCUAUGCCAUCAUUUUCUGAAGAAAAAAAAGGAUUAGAUUCGUAUGAGAUAUGGUAGGGACCAAAAGUUUGCGGUUCUAAUAAGCAGAGGUGUCAAAUUUGAAAUUAGGACAAACCUUAAAUUUACCAUUUGGUAUAUUUUAUUUCUAAAAAAUACAGCUUUUUUAGCUAUGUUGAAUUUAUCUUCAUCACUUCUUGUGACACGACUCUGGAGGUAGAUGUCCAGUAAAUCUAUAAAGAUAUUUUUGGUGAUUAUUAUAGAAUGUAACUAUAUAGGAAAUAUGGUAGUCAUAUUCUUAUAUGGUAAUCUUCACCUUUACUAUUGUAUAUUGCUCUACUUAUACAUAUAGAAAGGGUUGCCUAACUAUUAGGUUAAACCUCCUAAUUAUUCUCAACUUGGUAUCAGAGCCUUCGGCCGUUAAAACUCUUUUCUCCUUUUGCAGCCGGCCCCAAUUUUUUUUUUCUCCCCCAUGGACUCUCCUCCUGCUGCCGCCGUUGCCAUCUCUCCUUCCACCGAUGCUACAACAUCACCAGCCAUCCAUCCUCCUGCUGCUGGCCGAGAACAACUUCCACAUGUAGAGCAUGUGUCUGAUUCUUCUUCUCAUGAUUCUGUCGUUCCUUUGCCUCUCAUGGGAACACACACUUCAACAAUGGUUCCUCUAUCAAACACCCACCAAAUUGUGUCGUUGAAACUUACGAACACAAACUAUCUCUAUUGGAGAAUGCAGAUGAAGCCAUACCUCCUUGGUCAAGGUGUUUUUCACUUUGUUGACGGCUCCUUGCCGUGUCCUCCAUCUCAUAUGAUUGAUGCUUCGGCUAGUUCUUUCUCUGCCAUCAGCCCUUCUAUUCUUCAUUGGAAGCAACAAGAUCAACUUAUUUUGAGUGCUCUACUCUCCUCUCUCUCUCCGUGGAUGUGUUGCAUCUUGUAGUAGAUUGUUCUACUUCACAUUCUGUUUGGCGCACGCUUGAGAAGGCACUUGCCUCUCCAUCUAAUUCCCGAAUCAUGCAACUACAUGGCUCCUUUCAAGACCUUCGGCAAGGUGAUGCAUCAGUUAGUAUGUAUAUGCAGCAAGCCAAAUCGUUAUUUGACGAAUUGGCUGCUGCUGGUCGCCCAAUGUCUCUUGAAGAUUUCAAUCUCUAUGUGUUUCGUGGCCUUCGCGGUGAGUUCAAAGACUUGGUAACUAGCCUCAUAACCAAGGCCGAACCGCUAUCGUAUGCUGAUCUUCAUAGCCAUCUCCUUACCCAUGAGUUUCUGCACAAGAAUUCCUUUCACUCCAUGGCUGUCGGUUCAUCCUCUUCGCCUCUGCUGUCUUCUUCUUCUCUGCCGCAGCAGCCACCAUUGCUGCCAACACCUCGAUUCUGCUUAUUAUGCCAUGACUAAUCACAGCCGAAACAGGGGACGUUCUAGGGUAAUUGGCGUCCAACAACAACCGAUUUCAGGCCCAAACAGAGGUCACUCGCUGCAGAUUGGAGGCAAAUCAGUGGCAGAACAGGCGCACCUCUGCUGCAGAUUUCAGGCCGAAUCAGGGGCAGUGGUCUGGACAUGUACGCUGCCAAUUAUGUUCCAAUCUUGGCCAUUCAGCUCUUCAAUGCUCUCAGUUUCGCAGCAGCACACAACAACCCUCUGCUCACCUUGCUGUUGCGAAUGAUUCUGCUGCAACGACUUGGUUUCCCGACACCGGCGCGAAUCAACAUGUGACGCCUGACCUUGCAACUCUAACUGAUUCUGCUCCUUAUCUUGGUAAUGAUUUCUUGCAUGUUGGUGAUGGUAAGGCCCUUGACAUAUCCCAUGUUGGACAUACUACUUUAUAUUCCCCUAAACGCUUGUUUACAUUAACUAAUGUUCUUCGUGUGCCUCACAUUACCAAACCGUUGUUAUCUGUUCAGAAAUUCUGUCGUGAUAAUCAUGUUUAUUUUGAAUUUCACGAUUCUGUGUUUUAUGUGAAGGAUCUCGUCACCAAGGAAGUUCUUCUUUCCGGUCGGAGUCAUGAUGGUCUUUAUGUUCUCUCCGAGUCUUCGGCUACGUCAGUUCCUCAAGCUUUUUGGUCUCCUUGCAUUUCCGCGACUGCCGACUUGUGGCAUCGUCGUUUAGGUCAUCCAACUCCUCGCAUUCUAAAUUUGUUAGUUUCUGAUAAUAAAAUUAUUUGUACGUCUAACGAUCUUUUACUCAAUGUCAAGCAUGUCCAUUAGGCAAGUCAUCCCGUUUGUCAUUACGACCGACGGGUCACAAAACUUCUACCCCACUUGAAUUUUUUUAGUGAUGUUUGGGGCCCUGCUCCAAUGUUUUCUUCUGAUGGUUUUCGUUAUUUUGUUAUCUUUGUUGAUGCGCACACUAAAUAUAUCUGGUAUUAUCCGCUUGUUGCGAAAUCUGAUGUAUUUUCCACGUUUCAACGUUUUCAGACACUUGUUGAGCGUCAGUUUUCUCUUAAAAUUAAAUCUGUUCAAACUGAUUGGGGUGGUGAAUAUCGUAAAUUAAAUAAUUUUUUCAAACAAUUGGUAUUCAUCAUCGAUUAAUUUGUCCUCAUACUCAUGAACAAAAUGGCACAGUUGAACGUCGUCAUAGACAUAUUGUCGAAACUGGCCUAACCCUUUUAGGCCAGUGUAAUGCCCCAUUGCGUUUUUGGAACUAUGCUAUGGAAUCAUCGGUAUAUCUUAUUAAUCGCAUGCCUACUCAUGUUCUUCAAAAUAAAUCUCCUUUUGCGUGUCUGUUUCAUCGCACUCCUGAUUAUAACUUCCUACGUACAUUUGGGUGUCUUUGUUUUCCAUUUUUACGUCCAUAUCAUGCUCAUAAAUUAGAUUUUCGGUCUUCUCCUUGUGUGUUUUUAGGCUAUAGCUCGUCUCAUCUUGGUUAUCGGUGUCUUGAUUUAGAGUCUGGUCGUGUCUAUGUCUCCCGUCAUGUUCGUUUUCAUGAAUGUGUCUUUCCUUUUAAAAAGUCUGAACAGGUAACAACACCCCCGGUUCCCCCCACUCCACCUACCUAUCUUCCAUCCUUGCAUCCCCCUUCCUGUUUUCAGCCUAUUCCUUCCCAAAUCGGUAGAAAACACAACCCACCUUUGCCCCUUGCCGCACCUCCCCAGCUUGCUCCCCUGCCCGUUGAUUCAGCCGACCCUGCCUCACCACCCCACAAGCCAUACUAUCACCACGUGCUUGUCUUUCCAAUGAUUAUUGUGCAGGAACAGGUUCUGAACUUGCAGGAUUCAGUAGCGGCACAACCCAGCACCUCCCCGGCUUCACCUCCUGGUCUGCAACUUUGUGUUGAUCUCUCCUCUUAUCCUCUUCAGCACAUUCCAGGUACAGGUGCUGCUACUCCAUGUCCAGCUGCUCCUAAACACCCCAUGGUUCUUCGUCCGAGACCACCCAAGACAGCGCUGAUCACCACCACGGCAGCCACAUCUGCUGCUUCCUUCAGUCGGGUAACUUCUCCUCCCUCGCAUGAGCCACUUAUUUUUCCUGAUGCUAACAGAUAUGAGGCGUGGCAUAAUGCUAUGUGAGAGGAAAUUCAGGCCUUACGCGCAAACAGAACAUGGACUUUAGUGCCGUUUCAUCCGUCCAUGAAUGUUGUUGGUAGCCGAUGGGUCUACAAAAUUAAACGCAGAUCUGAUGGUAGCAUUGAGAGGUAUAAGGGCGCCUGGUUGCUAGGGGCUUCACUCAGCAAGAAGGUAUUGAUUACUCAGAAACUUUUAGUCCUGUUAUCAAACAGGCAACAGUCCGCUUAGUGUUCUCCAUUGCAGUUUCGAGUGGUUGGAAAAUUCAUCAGCUUGACAUUCAUAAUGCAUUUCUAAAUGGAGUCCUUGAUGAAGAGGUUUACAUGAAACAACCUCCAGGUUUUGUUGAUUCUGCUCCCAGGUCAUGUAUGUCGAUUGCAUAAAUCUCUAUAUGGGUUAAAACAGGCUCCGCGGGCUUGGUACACUCGUCUGAAUGACUUCUAUUAUCCAUUGGUUUCCGUGCUUCUAAAGUGGAUACCUCAUUGUUUAUCUUCUCGGUUGGUAGUGAUAUUUGUUAUCUUUUGGUUUAUGUUGAUGAUAUUCUGCUUACGGGUAAUAAUGGUCUGCUACAACGACUCAUUCAGCUACUGAGCUCAGAAUUUAAACUUCGGGAGUUUGGGUGAUGUUCAUUAUUUCUUGGGUAUUGAAGUGCAGUGUACUGGUCUGGGACUUAUGCUUUGUCAACAUAAGUAUACACUUGAUAUCCUCACACGAGCUGGUAUGUUAUCCUGUAAACCAGUUGAUACUCCUAUUUCGGCAUCCAAAGCCACCAUUAUGCCGGAUCCAUUGUUUUCUGAUGCUACUCGUUUUCGGCAACUUGUUGGUGCUCUCCAAUAUCUCACUUUCACACGCCCGGAUAUUUGCUUUGCUGUUAACCGGGUCUGUCAAUUUAUGCAUGCUCCUACAGAAUCCAUUGGGGCCGUGAAACGCAUCUUGCGUUAUCUCCGUGGUACGGCAUCACAUGGUUUACAUAUUACUCGCAGCUCUUCUUUUGCUUUACACGGUUUUACAGAUGCAGAUUGGGCAGGUAGUAUUGAGGAUAGAAAGUCUACAGGUGGUUAUCUUGUGUUCUUUGGUCAGACGCCAAUUUUCGUGGAAAUCGAGUAAGCAACGCACUGUUGCUCGUUCUUCGACGGAAGCUGAGUACAAAGCCUUAGUCGAUGGCAAGGCUGAAGUUAUCUGGCUUCAGUACUUGUUAACAGAUCCUCAAAUUCCGACUGCUUCUGCCCCUAUUAUCUGGUGUGACAACCUUGGUGCCACGUAUUUGUCUGCAAACCCUGUAUUUCAUGCUCGCACAAAACAUAUUGAGAUUGAUUAUCAUUUUGUCCGAGAUAGAGUUGCGAAGAAGGAGAUUCAGAUUCGUUUUAUUUCCUCUCAGGAUCAACUUGCCGAUGUCUUCACUAAGCCACUUCCUGCUGCUUCGUUUACUGCUUUUAGAUUCAAGCUUCGGGUUGAUCCUCCACCCUUAGCUUGAGGGGGCGUAUUAUAGAAUGUAACUAUAUAGAAAACAUUGUAGUCAUAUUCUUAUGUGAUAAUCUCCACCUUUACUAUUGUAUAUUGCCCUACUCAUAAAUAUAGAAAGGGUUGGCUAACUAUUAGGUUAAGCCUCCUAAUUAUUCUCAACUGUGACGAAUAAUAUUUAACAUAAUGGCUUCAUAAUUCAAUGGCUUCCAUUGUCAAAGCCGUUUUCCAUGGCAGAAUUGAAAGAUGUGAUGAUUCACUCCCUUCAGUAAUAUUUGAAGACUGUUUAUAUAGCAGAUAUACUAACAGAAAAACCUCAAGUAAAAUCUUCAACAAGUCACUUGACAAGUUGAGUAUUGAAAAUACCUCCACACCAAUUUAUCAGUUACAGAUCUCCUAUACAAGAUGGAAAUGAAUAUACACACAAAGGAAAAUCGAUGAAAAGUAUUGCAUCGUUACUCACUGAUCCUUAAGCAAAGCUGAAUAUGAAACUUAUUAAUUUUGCAGAAUAAUUAUCAUAUGAUGUUCAGCAGCAUGUCAUUGGCCAAUACAUUGACAUCUCUCCUAUUUCUUUUUCUUUUUUUAUUUCCUUUUUAUUUUGAGCAUAAUUGUCAGAGAUUCUAAGAAAAUUGCGCUAAUGUAAAAGAAGAAGAAGAAGAAGAAAGAAAUAAUAAUAAAAUAAAAAGAAGAAGAAAAGGGCGCCAGAGCAGUCUAUUUUCUGCCUGAUUGUUUCACCAAUGGCUGUAGAAUGGCAGCCAGACUAAUAGUCACAAAUCACUCUCUGAGCUGUAAGUUUGUUGGAUUGUUCUGCUUUGCUUUGCUUUUUUCUUUAAGAGCUGUUUCUUUGCCUUUUCUUUUGCCAACAAAAUCAAUGGUGUUCAACAUCGUUAGUUGAAUCGUAAAAUUAUACCAUCAAUAUAUAUUUAAUUGCCGACAGAACCUUUAUUGGUUUCAAUUAUUGGCCCUAUCCUAAAGUCUUGUAGUGGGAUGACUUGUGAUUGACUUGAAUAUCUACAGCUCACUGGUGGCCAAUGCUCCUAAUUUUCUUUCUACAAGUUUUCAUCCAUGGCUCUCGUCUGAAGGCUAACCAUGUAAAUGUCAUUCCAGUUUUUUUUUUGGUUAUAUGUCAAUUUUUUAGAGGGAAAUACUGGCGAAAUUAAGCGAAUUUUGUUUUUCUAGCUCGUAUUUUAUGUAUGUAAAACUAUCAUUUUUUUUUUAUCAACAGAAUUAGCGAAAAAUAAUGAAAUUAUAAACAAAUGUUAUUUCAACGAACGGAUUUCAUUGGUAAAUUAGUUAGUAAAAUUUUUACCGACGAAAUCGUAAUCUCACACCACAGAAAAAUUCCACCAAUAAAAUUAUUAAAUGGUGAUUGUGACAAUGAUUAUUUUUUAAAGUGUUUUUUUUUAAAUAUAUUAAAAUAAUAUUAUUUUAUAUUUUAAAAUUUAUCUUUUACAUCAACCCAUCAAAUCAAUCUAAAAAUAUAAAAAAUAAUAAUAUUUUUUUUAAAAAAACACUUUUAUAUUUAAUAACGCUAUUAACAUCCAAGUCAAUCCAAGAAUUGGGAGUAUACAAAUAGUCUUCAUCUCUUAAUAAUCAGGAGUGAACGGUGGGGUACAAGCUAGCUAUUAUUAAUUGAAAAACUAGGAGAAAAAACAAGAAAAUAAUAUAAAAAAAUCCUUGAACGAUGAUCACCCAAUGCAGAGUCUUGUAUUUCUUUUUUAAUCAUGGAAUAUAAUAAUUUUAUUAAGCAUAUAACGGUGCAAAAUAAUAUAUUUCUUAUAGUUCAUAUAUAAACAAAAAUCAUCCGAGAAUGGGUCCAUAGUUGAAACCCCAACACAAGUAUUCUAGAAUGACACUUUAAAUUAGUCUACACGUACUCCUUCUGUGACGCAAUUGAAUAUUCCAUCAAUGAUUAAUGUUGAUCGUCACACAAAAUGUUCACGAAAUGAAAAAGAAAAAUUAUACAAUAAUCCUGUAUUAGUCUACACGUACUGCUGAUAAUUGUAAAAAUAAUUUUAGAAUUACAAUAAUCCUGUAUUAGUCUACACGUACUGCUGAUAAUUGUAAAAAUAAUUUUAGAAUUACAAUAAUCCUGUAUUAGUCUACACGUACUGCUGAUAAUUGUAAAAAUAAUUUUAGAAUUACGACUAUUUUCCGCGGAUCAUGUUAAACAGAGGCUAGGCUGAUAGAGAGAGAUGAAUUUCUACAAACAAAAUAAAAUCAGUUCAAAGAAGUGCCAAGAACGCUCCUAAUCUCCUUUCUAACCAUCAGCAAACGACAUGAAUUUCAUGGAAAACAUCACCAUAGCCGACACCCAAAGACAUCCACUCAUGAAUGGAAGACCAUAGUAUUCUACACCUCUUCUGACGCAACUGUCCACAUAAGAAAUUUCCGAUCAUGACCAAGACAAACAAACUCCUGCUCAAGGAAGUUUCCACCUUGUGGCUCCCAUGUAUAAAUGCAUGCAGGGAACUUAAUUGAAAAAAAAGUAAAGCUUCUUUUUUACCAUCCAAUAAUAAUAUUAAUAACUGUGAAGAAAAACAGCUUCAUUUUGAUUUUGUAUCGACUUUCUUUAUCAUAGGACAAACUCAUGAUUAAAAAAAAAAAAAAACCAUGGGCUGAAGAGAUUAGAGUACUGCUGUAACAAGAGCAUCUUAUAUCCUUAAUUAAAAAAAAAAAAAAAAAACUAAAAGAGAAGAAAUUGUGUAUCUCUCUUCACAUUUCACUAUUUAUUAAAAUACUAUUUUAUUUUUAUUUUUUAUUUAUAUAUAUUUUUUCAAUUUUAUUUUUUAAAAUUAGAUUUAUUAAUGAUUGAAUUUCAUAAUUUUUUUGAAUUAGGUUAAUGGCCAUAUAAACCUCUAGUGACCUUAAAGUUUGUGAGACUUGAAUUAGUAACCUCAAGAAAACAAACUUAGAACCUGACCAAUUGAGUUAUACCCCUCAAAAUUUUAUGAUUUAUAUUAAUACGAUGUCAUGUGAGUAUUUGAUUUUAUUACAAAGGCACACUUUAUCUUGAUAUAAAGGAUAACCAUGCUAAAAAAAACUCUGAAGUAGUUAUCCUAGAUAGCUCCUCGGCUAUUUUAGAAAGUAGGGGUGAGCAAAAACGUCAAAAAACUGAUUAAAUUGAGAAAACUAAAAAAUCAAAUCGUGAAAAAAAUCUAAUUAAAUCAGAUUAAAAUUUUGAAAACACUAAUCACUUUGAUUCGGUUUUGAUUUUAUAAAUGUGAAACCGAAAAAAUCAACAUACCAACGAAGAAGGAAAAUAUCAAAGUCACAAUUUCUUAAUUUUCCACGAUACUUUAUAGCGAAGAUGCUAAGAGAAACCCCACCAGAAUUUGACAUCCACCUAACACCAUGGACUAAAACUGGAACUAAGUUUUUAAUUCAUGCAUUUAUAAUUAAGGCUUCAUCUCCAGUCAAGAUUGGCAACGCAAAUAGUCCACAGCUCCUAAUUAUGAGUAAUUGAAUGUUCUAAUCACUUAACUUGCCCAUGUCCUGCACCUUUCUUUAAUCCUUCAAACCAAAUCUGUCAUUAACUAUGGAAUGGACACACCAAAGAAAAAGGAAUCUUCAUCUUUAUACUCAUUUUAAUCAAUCAACCUCGAAUUUCAUUUGAUCUAUACAUUUUAUUUUACAGCUCCUCAAUGAUUACCCAAGAUAUCUUGCCUUUUUAUGUUUUUUCCCACCAUAGUGUGGAACAUACUAUUUUGCUCGUUGUCAUGGAAAAGUUUUUACUCAUCUUGUAAGAGAGGUCAGGAGCGUGACUUUGGGUUGGAGUGACUGAGUGAUGUGUGUGUGUGUGUGUAUGAUAGCAAGAAAUAUAAUAGACCAUCCUUUUGCUGUACAGAUGUGUCACGUCCUUCAGUAUAAAAAAAUAAAAGCUUGAGACCAAGAGGUUUGCUCCCUCUAUGAUCUUAGCUUUGAACCCUAGGUUGCUCAUAUGAUGGCCACUGGAAUCUUACAUGGUUGUUAACUUCAGGGCUCGUGGGAUUAGUCGAGGUGCGCGCAAGCUGCCCCGGACACCCAUGUUAAUCUAAAAAAAUAAAAUAAAAAAUAAAAUAAAAUAAUAACCAUGUAGAAUUUAAUUCCAAUGUCAAACCCUAAACCUCAACUAAGUUUUCAGCAUUUAUAAUCAUUUCAUAAAUGUAUACCAAUAGUUCGCAGCUGUUAAUUACGAGUAGUUGAAUGUUCUGAUCACUAAUUUUACCCUAUCCUUCACCUUCCUCUCAAUCAUCAAACCAAAUCCACCAUUUCUUUCCCUUAUACAUACGUGUGCAGGGCAAAUUAUUUUAUACAUCCUCCUGCUCGAGGAAGUUUCCACCUUGUGGGUCCCAUGUAUAAAUGUAUGCAGGGAAAGGGAACUUAAUUGAAAAAAAGUAAAGCUUCUUUUUAAAAUAUAAUGUAUGGGUUGUUAAACUUAUUGAGAUCAAACACAAAAGGGAGGCUAGAAUUCUGAAUAAUCUGUAUAUUAUGAAUGCUUAGACUUAACCUAAAUACAAAUAAAGUAUAUAUGGGUUAAACUGAAAGUACUAUUCUACCCUUAAUAAAUAAUACUACAUAAAUAUUAUUUAACAUCUCCCCUCAAACUCACGAUGCGGCAGCUGUAAGCAUCGAGAGUUUGCCAACCAGAAAACGAAAACGAGAGAUGGAAUGCGCCUUGGUGAAGAAAUCUGCAAUCUGCAAGGAAGAAGGAACAAAAGGCAAAGUAAUGGUGCCAUGCUUGAGAUGAUGACGAGUAAGAUGACAAUCGAUCUCAAUGUGCUUAGUUCGCUCAUGAAAAACCGAGUUGUGAGUAAUCUAAAUAGAACUCUGGUUGUCACAAUACAUAGGAGUAGGAUGAGAAAAGGAAACUCACAUAUCAGCAAGUAACCAACGUAACCAAACAAUCUCUUUGGUGGUAGAUGCCAUGGCACGAUAUUCUGCUUCGGUGGAUGAUUGAGAAAUAAUAGAUUGUUUCUUGCUCUUCCAAGAAAUAAGAGAAUCACCUAAAAAGAUACAAAACCCGGUAACAGACUUGCGAUCUGUGGGAUCACUACCAUGAUCAGCAUCAGAGUAUGCACGCAACUCCAAGGAAGAGGUGGAUGAGAGUAAAAGACUCUGAAAAAUUGUACCCCGAAGAUAUCGCAAAAUACGAAGAACAGCUGCCCAGUGAACAGUAGUAAGAGAAGCAACAAACUGACUAACAACAUGAACAGCUUAUGCAAUAUCUGGACGAGUAAUGGUGAGAUAUACCAAACUCCCAACAAUAGUGCGGUAUAAAGUAGGAUCUAUCAAAGGUAAACCAUCAGAAGAAGAGUACCUUGCAUUAACCUCAAUAGGAGUAUCAACGGUCUUGUUAUCUGUAAGUCUAGUCCGCUCAAGAAUAUCUGCAACAUAUUUUGACUAAGAAAGAAGGUAACCUCUAGGUGAAUAUGCUACCUCAAUACCCAGGAAAUAUCGAAGAUGACCCAAAUCCUUCAUUUCAAAUCGUUUAGCCAACUCUAUCUUCAAAACUGAAAUACCAUCAAUAUCAUCACCAGUAAUAAUCAUGUCAUCAACAUAUAAAGACAGAAUGAUACGACCUGCAUCAGUGCACUUGAUAAAAAGAGCAGAAUCAUGACUGUUAGAAACAAAGCCAAGAGACGAGAUCACAAUAGAGAAUUUCUCAAACCAAGCACGAGGUGCUUGUUUGAGACCAUAUAAUGCUUUCUUAAGCUUACAAACAUAUCCAGAGUCAUGUGAAAUACCAGGAGGGGGUGCCAUAUAAACUUCUUCUUGAAGAUCUCCAUUCAAGAAGGCAUUUUUAACAUCAAGCUGAGAAAUAUGCCAUUGACGAAUCGAAGCUACAACAAUAAGAGUACGAAUAGUAGUCAUUUUUGCAACCGGGGCAAAUGUCUCCUCAUAGUCCAUACCAUACUGUUGAGAGUAUCCUUUUGCAACCAGCCUAGCUUUGUAUCGCUCAAUAGACCCAUCAGAAUUAGUCUUGAUCUUAUACACCCAACGACAACCAACAACACUCUUACCAGGAGGUAGAGGAACCAGAUCCCAAGUAUCUGUCUUAUGCAAAGCAGAAAGUUCCUCAUCCAUAGCUUGCUGCCAAAGCGGAUCAAGAAUUGCCUCUUUAUAGGAAGAGGGCUCAAAGAGACAAUGAAUAGAAGCUAAAAAGGAAGUAAAUGAUGAAGAAUAACAAGAAUAAGCAAAAUCUGGUAGUUUUGUAGACUUACGAAUACGGAUGGACUGACGUGGAGGUGGAUCCACAAUCUCAGAUGAAGCUUGAGGGGCUGUAGAUGAGAAUGGAGCUUCAGGUGUGCUAGAGAGUAAAGUACCAGUACCUGCAGAGUUAUGAGUACAAAUUGAUCGAACAUGGGGAGAGAUAUCAUUAUCAGAAUCCUCAGAAAACGGAUCUAUACUAAUAACAUCAUAUUUGGUCAGGUUAUGAGUAGUGGAUGGAAUAGAAAAGAAAGGUAUAUGCUCAAGGAAGACAACAUGACGAGACACAUAAAGUUUCUGAGUUAUUGGAUCAAAACAACGAUAACCCUUUUUACCUUCACCAUAGCCUAGAAAAACACAAAUAGCGGAUCGAGAGGAUAAAUUACUUCGUUCUUGAUACGGUUCAGCCCUGUGAUACGACCCAAGUAAGGUCAGAUUCGGAUUUUGGCGUAAAAAGCGCAACAAUCCAGGUUUACGGCAACAGUCAUAAUUCUCAAUCCGACCGUUGGAUCGGGCUAAUAUUUUAUGUGGACUCUCCAGACAUAUCUUACUACCUUGGGUUAAAAUUGCAGGUCAAUCGGAGUUCGGGAAGGCACCCCAAUACUGGUCAACAGAGGCUGUACGGAUUUUGUUAUUUACUUCCAUUUGACUUGUGGACUUCCUAUUUGAUUAGGAUUCUUUUCCUCCAAGGAUGUGGGAGCUGGUUUUGGGAAUUUCCUAGUUCCACAAGGAUCUUUAAUGAGUUGCAAUAUAAUCUCCUAGUGUGGCAAGGAUUCAUUAAUGUUUCAGAAUCCUUUUCUUAUAAGGAUUCCUUAUUCAUCCUAGCUACACAAGGAAAGAAGGGCUGGUGGUAUUUAAUGACAAGUUACUUAUUUUUAUUAUUUUCUUUCAUGUUUGGGCUUAAUUAAUAGUUUGUUUUCAGCUAGGAUCCAAGGCUUGUUUGGAUCAGGUUAUGGGCUUUUUAGUUUAGGGUUUUGGGCCAGUUUUGAGUGGACCUCAUAUAAGUCCACAUAAGAGGUCCAUUAGGGUUAAUUUUUCAAGAACUAUUUAAACUCAUGUAAGCCACAAUUUCGGCAGCUUUGAUGAUUAUUAUUCUGAAUUUUUCAGUUUUAACGUGUGAGAGUGAUUCUUGCAUUCUUCAGUUCUUGAACGAACUGAAUCUGACUUAUCGAAGAUUAACUGGCUUCGUGGCGUCAUUCUACUCAUUCCAAUAGUGUUGGUGCCUUGGGGCAGGUUUCCAUUGUGUCGCACUCCUAUCAGACCUAUUUCGGCUUUCCGGGAUCAGAUCUCAAUCUUGAUUGUGGGUUGCGUGACCACGUGAUCACGAGGUUCGCAUCAGUUGGUAUCAGAGCUAGGCUCCGAAACAAGGUCAUAUCAUUCUGUUAUUUUCGUUUUUUUUUUUAGUGUCCCUUAAGUUUUUCAGUGUUUGCAUCCAUCUUCUUGUUCUUCGUGUCUGUGUCAUCUAAGCAAAAAAAAAAAAAAAGCUAUAUUUCAUCUUGUUACUGUCUCUAAUCAUAUCAGUUUGUUAAAAAAAAUCAGAAAGAAAUAGAGAAAAGAGUGAUUAGUUGAAAUUUGAAGGAUCAUUCAAUUUUUGCCGCAGAAACACAAAUCUUGGUGAACCAUAAGCAAACCACCUCGGAAUCAAUUUAAACUUCAUAUUCAGUCUAUUGGGGGUGGGAUCGCAUGAUAUAUCAAAUUUGGGCUUAUUCUGAUAUUAUUUGCUUGAGGUUUUAAUUGAGUUUCAAUUCUGCCGCAAAAACACUACUCUUAGUGAACCCUAGGUAAAACACCUUGGAAUCAAUUUAAACUUCAUAUUCAGUCUAUUUGGGGUGAGAUCGCAUCAUAUAUCAAAUUUGGACAUAUUUCGAUAUUGUUUGCUUGAGGUUUUAAUUCGAGGUUCAAUUCUGCCGCAGAAACACUACUAUUAGUGAGCCGUAAGAAAAACACCUUAGAAUCAGUUGAAACUUCAUAUUAUGUGUAUUGGGGAUGAGAUCGCACCAUAUAUUAAAUUUGGGCAUAUUUUGAUUCCGGCUUCUGGAGGUUUUAAUUGGAGGAUCAAUUCUGCCGCAAACUGAUCAUACAAGGAGUUUGGGUACCUAGAAAUAAGAGAACGACCUAUAAAUUGAUUUUUGGUGAUUUCAUAGUAUUGUAAUAAUACAAAUUAAAUUCGAGGUCAUUUGGAUAUCGGUUUCUUUAGGUUUCCCGAAUUAGGUCUUGUUUUGUCGUAACGGGUCUGUUUGGUGUUAUCUUUCAAAACUUGUUUUGUUUCUGUUGAUUUCGUUCCUGCCAUUAUACUAUCAUCAUAUUUUGAUAUUUGGCUGUUGUUUGAGUCAUUUUCAUCACCCUCGCAUUAGUUUGUUUUUCGAUAAGUUCUGGUCCAAACAAAAGUCAGAUUUGUAUUCUCGAGUCUAAAUCAAUGUUCUUCAUGCUAUAAACUCUAUUCUUGUCGUCGUCUUCUUGUUUUUUUCCCCUAUCUGUGUCAUGUAUUCACUAAGGGAGAGGGAACAGAGGAGGAUUGUAGAUCAACGAUGCGAAAUACUAAGCCAUGGUUUGGGGGUUCUAGAACGAGAAGUUGAUAAGUGUAGAAGAUUAUUCUAUGAUCUUGAAGCUUCAUGGGAAAAAGAGGUACAACGCCAAAAGGAUGAAAGACGAAGGAGAGUCGCUGUGGUUAUCAUUCAAAAGUAUGUACGCAAGUGGUUAGUACGGCAUGCUUAUUUGAAAUUCUUGUCAGUCACUACUUCUAUACAGUGUUGUUGGAGAAAUGUGUUAGCAAUAAGGGGAUUCCGAAGGCUUAAACAAGAGGCUACUGAAGUCACCAUUAAUGCUAUUCAAGAUUCGAGGGCGAAUCUUCUUGAAGAGGGAGGGAAUGAUACGGUUCAGCCCUGUGAUACGACCCAAGUAAGGUCAGAUUCGGAUUUUGGCGUAAAAAGCGCAACAAUCCAGGUUUACGGCAACAGUCAUAAUUCUCAAUCCGACCGUUGGAUCGGGCUAAUAUUUUAUGUGGACUCUCCAGACAUAUCUUACUACCUUGGGUUAAAAUUGCAGGUCAAUCGGAGUUCGGUAAGGCACCCCAAUACUGGUCAACAGAGGCUGUACGGAUUUUGUUAUUUACUUCCAUUUGACUUGUGGACUUCCUAUUCUUUUCCUCCAAGGAUGUGAGAGCUGGUUUUGGGAAUUUCCUAGUUCCACAAGGAUCUUUAAUGAGUUGCAAUAUAAUCUCCUAGUGUGGCAAGGAUUCAUUAAUGUUUCAGAAUCCUUUUCUUAUAAGGAUUCCUUAUUCAUCCUAGCUACACAAGGAAAGAAGGGCUGGUGGUAUUUAAUGACAAGUUACUUAUUUUUAUUAUUUUCUUUAAUGUUUGGGCUUAAUUAAAAACUUUGUUUGGAGCUAGGGUCCAAGGCUUGUUUGGAUCAGGUUAUGGGCUUUUUAGCUUAGGGUUUUGGGCCAGUUUUGAGUGGACCUCAUAUAAGUCCACAUAAGGGGUCCAUUAGGGUUAACUUUUCAAGAACUAUUUAAACUCAUGUAAGCCACAAUUUCGGCAGCUUUUGAUGAUUAUUAUGCUGAACUUUUCAGUUUUAACGUGUGAGAGUGAUUCUUGCAGUCUUCAGUUCUUGAACGAACUGGAUAUGACUUAUCGAAGAUUAACUGGCUUCGUGGCGUCAUUCUACUCAUUCCAAUAGUGUUGGUGCCUUGGGGCAGGUUUCCAUUGUGUCACACUCCUAUCAGACCUCUUUCGGCUUUCCGAGAUCAGAUCUCAAUCUUGAUUGUGGGUUGCGUGACCACGUGAUCACGAGGUUCGCAUCAUUUCUACAUGAGGACGAAGAACGAAACAAGUACAACCAAAGACUCUAAAUGAGGAAUAAUCAGGAACAUACCCAUAUAACUUUUCAAAAGGAGAUAGACCCGAACUAUGAGAAGAUGGAAUUGUAUUAAUUAAACUUACAGCAGUAAGAACAGCUUCUCCCCAAAACUCACUAGGAACAAAGGCAGACAACAAGAGAGAACGAGCAGUUUCAACAAUGUGCCUAUGUUUUCUUUCAGCAACACCAUUUUGCUCAGGAGUAUCUGUACAAGAAGUUUGGUGGAUGGUUCCAUCUAAGGCAAGCAAUUGGCAAAAUUUAUUAGAGGUGUAUUCCCCACCCAAAUCACACCUAAAACAUUUAAUCACAGCAGAAUGUUGAGUUUUGAUAAGAGCUCGAAAAGCUGCAUAUAUCUCAAAAAAUUCAGAACGAUGUUUCAUUAAAUAAACCCAACAAUAACGAGUAUGAUCAUCAAUAAAAGAGACAUAAUAUCGAGACCCUCCUUUUGUGGCAACAGGAGAAGGUCCCCAUACAUCAGAAUGAAUCAAAUCAAAUGGUGAAGAAGAAACAGAAAUACUUCUAUUAAAAGGUAAGGCGGAAAAUUUUGCCAAUUUACAUCCACUACAAUCCGAAAUGUCACAAGUUUUCAAAUUUCCUAAAGCUCCUGUGGAUGCCAAAAAUCUCAAACGAGAAGAUGAAACAUGACCUAGACGGGAAUGCCAUAAAUAAAAACUAGAAGAUGAAAGACUCAAACGAAAGGAAGACAAAUCAACUGUAGUAGCAGCAGCAGCGGCAGCAGCAACUGGCACUUUUAACUCAUCCAAAAUAUAUAGUCCAUUCUCUCUACGGCCUGUCCCAAUCAGCUUCUGAGACUGCAGAUCCUGUAUACAACAAAAUAAACCAGAAAACAUGACUAAAUAAUCACCAGAAUCACAUAUUUGACCAACAGACGCAAGAUUCAAUUUGAGUUUUGGAAUAAGAUAAACAUUAGGGAGAGACAAGUGAGGUGUGACAACAGAACCAACACCUGCUAAGGGCAUAGGAGUGCCAUCAGCAGUCAUAACAGGAAUGGAGGACAAAGGGGAAACAGAGGUAAAAGAUGAGGAAUCUGGAGACAUAUGAUGAGAAGCACCAGAAUCCAAGACCCAUUCAGAGUGUGACAUACCUGAGGAACUAUGAUGCAACUGACCUAUGGAAGAAGAAGCGGACAUUGCUUGUGGCUGCAAGGAGAGAAACUUCUGAAAUUGCUCAGCCAAAAUAUUAGGAUCGGUAAUAGAACUUGAGGAAGCUACUGCUGCAGUAUUGUGGUGUGGUGGUUUAUAACCCUGAGGUGUUCUAUGAGCAUUAGAUUGUGACUGAUUGCCAGACUUCCAAGCUUGAUUCUGCUGUCUCAACUUAGAACACUAAGCCUUCCAAUGACCUUUCUGCUUACAGAAACUGCACUCAUCGAAGCCAACCUUUGUGUAAGGCUUAUUCUGAUGAUUAGAGAAUGACUUAGAAGGCACUGCUAAUACUGAAGGAUUCGAAGCAGAAAAAAUUUCCUUUUCAGAAUAAGACUGAAGACGUAUUUCUUCAGCUAAUAACUCACUAACAACAGAGUCAACAGAAGGCAAUGGAGAACGAUGCAGAAUUGAACCCCUAAGUCCUUUGAAAUCACUGUGAAGUACUGUUAAAAACUGUACCAAUCGUUGUUGUUCUCUACGCUCAAUAUAGGCACCACAUGCCUUUAAUUUUGUCGAUUCUGUAAGAGCCAAUUGAUCCCAAAGAUCUGUCAUAGCAGAAUAAAACUCUUGGAUACUCAUACUGUUCUGAUGAAGAGCUCGUAUGUCAUUCUCUAAUUGAUACUGUUUUGCAAAAUUUGAUUGUGUGAAUAACCUUUGCAGAUGAUCCCAAACCUCUUUUGCUGUCUCAUACUUCGUCAACUGCAUACCUAUCGAAUGCUCAACAGAAUUGUUGAUCCAAGUAAUGAUCUUUGCAUUAUUUGCUUCCCAUGUAUCUAUCAAAACAACAUCUCCCUCCUCAACAUUCUUAGGUAUCAUAUAAGUCCCACUAACAUACCCCCACAUCUUCUUACCCUUAAGGAAAUUUCUCAUCACAUAACUCCAAUAUGAAUAAUUCUUCCCAUCCAACCUCACACUCACAGACUGAAGUGAAUCAUCUCUUUUAGUGGCCAUAAUCAGCAAUCACAAAUAACCAGAAUGCAAAAGCAGCGGAAACAAAAUACUAAAUUGCAGAAACUAAACAAAUCUCUUCUCGAAAUUAUACGAUUACUCCAAAACACAAAACAAAUUUGCAAAAACUGAACGCAAAUACCAAAUUGCAGAUGCUGAAGGGAAGACGAAAUACCAAAAUAAUUGCAGAAACUGUCGAAAUACCUAAUUUUGCAGAAGCGAAAGACAAAAUAUCACUCCAAAAAAAAAUUGAAUUAAGCCUCGUUUCAUAAAACCAGCUCUGAUACCAUGUUAAACUUAUUGAGAUCAAACACAAAAGGGAGGCUAGAAUUCUGAAUAAUCUGUAUAUUAUGAAUGCUUAGACUUAACCUAAAUACAAAUAAAGUAUAUAUGGGUUAAACUGAAAGUACUAUUCUACCCUUAAUAAAUAAUACUACAUAAAUAUUAUUUAACAAUGACAUUAAAAUUUAACAUUUAUGCAUGACAAUUUUUUUAUAUAUUUUUUAUGAUAUAGCCAUAUAAUAGAAAGUACUUUUUUUAUAAUUUAAUUUUCAAUAAAAUCACUUUUAAAACCAGCUAAUGAGGCCCAAAUCAUAUUUUUUUUAUUAGGGUAUACAGAACCAAAUACCAACUCGCAACACCAGGGUCUCACGUCAUAGAUUUUUAGAAUGAGUGGUUUAUAUUAAAAAAUAAAAUUUCAAAAAAUAAAACAAAUUACUGAUCGGUCUAAAGAAAUUUCCUGCUAGUCUCCCCGGUUUUUUUCAUUUGAAGUCAUGAAUACUCUGAUUUUUCAGGAUUACUUCUCAAUAUCUUACUUACCUUAAUUGAUCUUCUAGCAAAAGGAUACUUCAUUUCUAACGAAGAUGCUGACUGGCUGGGUGCUUCCUCCGCCUCCAGCCCUCUUCCUUUAAUUGAUCUAUCUUUCUCGAUAGGUGGCACGAGUUUCUUCACAUGGUGAACUGAUUUUUUUGUAACAUAAAAAAUAACAAUGGCCCUAGAAAUCUAAAUGUUAAUUAAAAAAAAUUAACUUUUAAAUUUAAGUGAGGUUUUCAAAACCUGUAAAUUAAAUUAUGCAAACAGGAUAAUUUAAUAGAAAAAAAACAGCUUAAUUUUAGAAAUAACUAAUUUUGAAGGACAAAGCUGAAAAAAAAACAACUUUAAAAAAUAUAUGAUUCACCUAGUUUAACCUACUGUCUAAAUCAUGAGAUGUGGAUAAUUAAAUGAAAGGAAACUGAAAAAAAUAAUGAACUUCAUUUUUCAAAAUGAACUUUGAAGGAAGUUGUUGUUACUCAAUUUAGUUAAAGGGUGAAAUUAAAAAAAAAUCAAAUUAAUAAAAAAAUCCAAAACAAAAAAAAUUUAAGAGAUCAAAGAUCAAUUUUUUUUUUUUAAAUCAAGAUUAGGAUCCAAAAAUAAAAUUAAAAACAAAUUAAGAUUUGAUAAAUAAAUCAAAAUUAAAAAUCAAAAGACUUCAUUUCCGGUCAAGAUUGAAUGUUGUUACCCUGUCCAGCUGCACCUUUCUUUCAAUCUUACUCAUGAAUUUAUAAUCUAUCAUUUCUUUUCCAUAUAUAUACGCAUGCAGGGCAAAUCAUUUUAUACAUCCUUUUUAAGAAAUUAAACCACCAAGGCCAUGGCUUCCCACAUCUUUUUCUUCUCCACACCUUUUUUGGUUUUUUCCUCACUUGCUUAUGCUUCCUUCUUUGCUUCUUUUGCUUACUCGGCUAGUACUGGAGCUGCUGAAGUAGCAAAUGGAAGGAAGGAAGCAGAAGCUCUUCUAGAAUGGAAAGUCAGUCUUGACAACCAAAGCCAGUCUCUCCUGUCUUCUUGGGCUGGAGACAGCCCUUGCAACUGGUUCGGAAUCAGCUGCGACAAGUCCGGUAGUGUCAGCAACAUAAGUCUGUCCAAUUCUAGCUUGAGAGGUACGCUUAAUAGUCUCCGAUUCUCUUCCUUUCCUAACUUGAUUGAGCUUUUCCUUCCCAACAACUCGCUCUAUGGGUCCAUUCCUUCACAUAUAGGUAACCUUUCUAACCUCUCCAUCCUUGACUUGUCUUACAAUAACAUUUCUGGCAACAUUCCACCAGAAAUUGGAAAUUUAGAAUCUCUCACUGUUUUAGCUUUGUUAUUUAAUAAACUAACCGGGACAAUACCAACAUUUUUAGAAAAUUUAAAAAACUUAUCUAUACUUAGCCUUUGGAGUAACAGUUUUUCUGGUCCCCUUACUAUUAUUGGAAACCUCCCGAGAUCUCUCACUAUUUUAGAUUUGUCGUCUAAUAAACUAACUGGUACAAUACCAGCAUCUUUAGAAAAUUUAAAAAGAUUAUCUAUUCUUAGCCUUCAUAGUAACAAUCUUUUUGGUCCCCUUACUUUUAUUGAAAACAUGACGAGAUCUCUCACUAUUUUAGAUUUGUCGUUUAAUAAACUAACUGGUACAAUACCAGCAUCUUUAGAAAAUUUUAAAAGCUUAUCUGUACUUAGCCUUCUUAAUAACAAUCUUUUUGGUCCAAUUACUUUUAUUGAAAACAUGACCAGAUCUCUCACUAUUUUAAAUUUGUCGUUUAAUAAACUAACUGGUAUAAUACCAGCAUCUUUAGAAAAUUUAAAAAAUUUACAUUUACUUAACCUUGGGAAUAACAAUCUUUUUGGUCCCAUUCAAAUAAACAACCUUACACAUUUGUAUACGUUACAAAUAUAUUCUAAUAGAUUGUCUGGUAAUCUACCACGAGAUGUGUGCCUUGGUGGAUUACUUUUAUAUUUUAGUGCGGAUGACAAUUAUUUCACGGGACCUAUCCCGAAAAGCUUGAGAAACUGCAGCAGCUUGUUGAGACUCAGACUUGAGAGAAACCAACUUAGUGGAAACAUAUCUGAAGCUUUUGGCACACAUCCUCAUUUGUACUACAUGGAUUUGAGUGAUAAUGAAUUGCACGGUGAACUUUCAUUGAAAUGGGAGCAGUUCAACCAUCUGACCGCCUUCAGAAUUUCCGGAAACAAAAUAUCUGGAGAGAUACCAGCUGCUCUUGGAAAGGCAACUCAUCUACAAGCUCUUGACCUCUCGUCAAAUCAACUGGCUGGGAGAAUUCCCAAAGAAUUGGGAAAUUUGAAGUUGAUUGAACUUGCACUCAACGAUAACAGACUUUCAGGUGAUAUUCCUUUCGAUGUCGCAUCGCUAUCUGAUAUCGAAAGGCUUGGCCUGGCUGCGAACAAUUUUAGUGCAACAAUUCUUAAACAGCUUGGCAAGUGCUCAAAACUGAUAUUCUUGAAUAUCAGCAAGAAUAGAUUGACAGGGAGUAUUCCUGCUGAGAUGGGGUCUUUACAGUCUCUUCAAAGUCUUGAUCUCAGUUGGAAUUCCCUCAUGGGACGUAUAGCACCGGACCUUGGACAGAUGCAGCAGCUAGAGGUAUUAAACCUCUCCCAUAAUAUGUUGUCUGGUCUAAUUCCAACCAGUUUUAAUAGACUGCAAGGCCUCACUAAAGUGGAUGUAUCCUAUAACAAGCUAGAGGGCCCCAUUCCUGACAUCAAAGCCUUUCGCGAGGCACCAUUUGAAGCAAUUCGCAACAACACCAACCUGUGUGGCAAUGCAACUGGUUUGGAGGCUUGUUCUGCUCUCAUGAAAAACAAAACUGUGCACAAGAAGGGCCCCAAAGUUGUCUUUUUGACGGUCUUUUCUCUGCUGGGUAGUUUGUUGGGCCUGAUUGUAGGUUUUCUUAUCUUUUUCCAAAGCAGAAGAAAGAAAAGGUUCAUGGAAACACCACAAAGAGAUGUUACCGCGAGAUGGUGCCCUGGUGGGGAUCUGCGCUACGAGGACAUCAUUGAGGCUACUGAGGAAUUCGACUCCAAAUAUUGCAUUGGUACUGGAGGGUAUGGAGUUGUUUACAAAGCUGUACUUCCAUCAGAACAAGUCCUUGCCGUGAAGAAAUUCCACCAAACACCAGAAGUUGAGAUGAGCAGCUUGAAAGCUUUUAGAAGCGAGAUUGAUGUCUUAAUGGGUAUACGGCAUCGAAAUAUUGUGAAGCUGUAUGGUUUCUGCUCGCAUGCCAAACACUCAUUUUUGGUAUAUGAAUUUGUGGAAAGGGGAAGUUUAAGAAAGGUACUGGACGACGAGGAACAAGCAGCAAAGAUGGAUUGGGAUAAAAGGAUAAAUCUUAUCAAAGGCGUAGCCAAUGCUUUAUCCUACAUGCACCAUGACUGCUCCCCUCCGAUUAUUCAUAGAGACAUUUCCAGCAACAAUGUUCUUUUGGAUUCAGAAUAUGAGGCUCAUGUCUCUGACUUCGGCACAGCCAGGCUCUUAAUGCCUGACUCGUCCAAUUGGACAUCAUUUGCUGGCACCUUUGGGUACACAGCUCCAGGUAUGUCGUUAAUUUUCAAUGUCACCUUCUACAUUAGGUAAAUUAUUUUUGCAAAAUAUAGCAUGACCAGCCUCUUUUGCAGAGUUGGCAUACACAAUGAAAGUGGAUGAAAAAUGUGAUGUUUAUAGCUUUGGAGUAUUAACAUUGGAAGUAAUGAUGGGAAAGCAUCCUGGAGAUUUCAUCUCAUCUCUGAUGUUAUCUGCCUCCACCUCCUCAUCAUCACCAAUUGGUCACAAUACAGUCUUGAAGGAUGUCUUAGACCAGCGCCUCCCACCUCCUGAAAACAAGCUUGCGGACGGUGUGGCACAUGUUGCAAAACUGGCGUUUGCUUGCUUGCAGACCGAUCCUCACUAUCGGCCAACAAUGCGACAGGUUUCUACAGAGCUUACAACUCGAUGGCCUCCAUUGCCAAAGCUAUUCUCCACGAUGGAAUUGGAAGAUAUAAUGGUUCACAGAAAUGUUAUUGGCUGAAUUUUUACAGUAUACUUGGGUGUUUGUGAAAAGCAACUUGUUUGGCAAAAUGUAAUAUUCAAUAAUCAAGUCUAUGUUAGAUAUUCCGUCCAAAGCAUCAUUUUAGAUGGAACUUGGUGAAUGUCAUGAAUCAUGUAAUUCAUUGCCUUCAUUUGUAUCAAUUGCCUUCCUACUACAUAUUUUUUUUGGAGAGUAAUAAACAAUCGAAAUUCCAACACAAAGACCGUACAAUAAUGAUGAACAAAAUUUCCACAAUCAAACCAAACUCGUCCUGAAAGAUCAAAUAACGUCAGUUGAAAUUCCAUAUUAAUUCCUCCGCGUCUAAAGUGGGCUUCCCUCUUAGAAAGAAACAAAUAAGUAAUACCUAACACAAAUCUUUAAAUCACAAGUUGCAAAAACCUCGUAUUAAAAAUAGGAGAUAGUCAUUCUAAUCUCAAAUCUCUACCCCCUCGAACUUUUCCAGGAUUUGAAUCUAAAAAACCUCGUAUUAAAAAUUCAAAACUGCAAGGUCUUAACUCUUGAAUGGAUCGUCCCCCUAUUCUUCCCAGCCCUGUGAUAAGGAAUGCUGCUUCUGUUCAAAAACUCUGUUGUAGAACUGUAGGCAUAAUUUUCUCUCAAGGUUCAGGUUAAUUUUGUACCUGGAAGGCCAACGGGCCUUGGCAUCAAAACAUUUUGUAAUUUUCAACAGUUUUCAAGGGUUUACGCAAUUGUGCUGAAUUAUAAGUGGGAUUUCCUGAAUUGAGACAAGACCAAACCUACAGCCAGAAAAAGUCUUUCUUUACCAAACAAAAACAGAGCGUCUCUGUAUCUUUCCUCUGGGCUUCAAAAAAUCUAAUAGAUCUUGUCUUAUGGUAGGCUGCUUCAGUUUCCUUACGAAACUUUUAUAUAUUUCUAGCAAUUCACAUGACAUCAUCAAAUGAUACAAGUCUUUAAUAAGAAUCUACAACAACACUAGAACAUCCUCGUUGACGAUCCGUGCUUCUCUGCAAAAAUCCAUUAGUAUCUUUCCAAGAUCACGAAACUCCAAAACAAAGAACAUCCAAAACCCUUUGCAAACUCCAACAGAACCCUAAUUGAAUAUAACAGCUGAAAACAUCCCAGUGAAGUGCUUGCGAUUCAAAAAAAUGAAGUCUAAUAAUUGACUACUUAGCAAAGCAGAAGUUAUGAGACACUUAUGAUGCGUCUGUUGUGGAUAAAAAGGUUGUUUCCGUAGAAAGCAUUUUUCAAGACGAAUAGGAACCUUGUGGCAGUUGAUUUGAAACAUAGGAAUUGGAAGGAUCAAAAUUCAGAAUGUCUGGAAAGCAAUGAUACUUGAUAUUGGAGAAUGUGAUGGGAGCACUAAAUGGUGUUGUUUCCGUAGAAAGCAUUCAAUGCGUUGCUGAUUUUUCAAGCAAAGACUGAUUGGGAGGGGAACUUUGAAAUAGUUAAACGGAAUGAGGAAAAGGAGGCAGAGGAAGAGGAAGAUGAGAAAAGAAAUGAAAGUAAGAAAGAUGGGAAGUGUGUCAAAGGGAAGAGGAAGAGGAAGAUGAGAAAAGAGAUGAAAGUAAGAAAGAUGGGUAGUGUGUCAAAAGGAAGAGCGUUCAUGAGUACUAGUAAUAUUCAUGAGCUUAUAUUAGAAGGUGCAUUGGGUACGACUGAGGAGAAAGGGGGAUGGUAAUGACAUGGAUGUCGAGAAAGGAGAGAAAGUAAGCAAGAAGAAGAAAAUGAUUUUCAUAUUUAGAGUAGGGAUUGAGAAGGGAAAUCUGUUCUCUAUACUAUCUUGACAUCAUUGAUAAUAAUCUACAUGAGAUUUACUCCUGCACUUCAACGCAGCCACAUAAGCACAUGCCCAAACUGAAAUAUUUCAUUUAGUUUUCGAGCACCGGGGCCAAGUCCAUUUCCAUGAAAAUGAUAGAGGAUGUACGUGUGCGCUUCUAAUUCAAAACAAAAAGAAAAUAUGUUGAAAAAUCAAACAUUUGAAAACUCACAAAAGAUGGAGCAGGCUGCUUCUCAAACAGCAGAACAUGUUUUAUAACACUACAAGGCAAUCAUCCAAUAGCAAACAAAAAUCAAUUAAAUUUGAUGGCAAUAGACCAAAACCUCGUUCAAAUAAAAUUGACAGAUGAAUCAUAUAGCAGUCAAGGGAAAAUAUAGUUGAUAAAAUAAAAGUGAUUUUCUGCUUGAAUUGUGUCAGUGACUAACUUCAGUUGAAGAUUUUAAAGAGGGCAUCUGGAUAUGGGGAUUACUCUUCCUAUACGGCUACUUGCUGAGUUACUGGAAUAGUAAACAGGAAACCAGCCAGAAAAUCAAAUAUAACAGAGACCAAACACAAAAUUUAGGGGAGUAGUCGUCGUAUCAGCAGGGAGAACCAAGCAUUUCCAGACAAAUGCAAAGUCUUUCAUUGUGGCAUUUGAUGCUUUUGUGGUCUCAAGCAUGAUCCACCUGGUGAUCCCAGAAGUUGUAAAGGCUUGUUGAAGAGACUUGCUUCACCUUCAAGUUUCAUUCUGACCAGCCAACUCAAAACUUUUGAUGAGAGCCAUCAGAGCAAUAAAAUUUCUUCAGCUUCUUUCUACAAUUUUAACAGCUCUUUUCCAUUUUUCUCAAGGUGUAAUUCCAGGAACAUAAAGGGACAGCGGGCUUGGGCUUCUUUAUUUUUUCAACCAGCACAGCUUGAGUUGUUAGAACUAUCCCAGCAAUUGAGAAGAUCUUCGUAUCUACCAGUCAUUGCAUUGUAACCAAUUCUCCAGUCACAAGAUCGAAUAUUCUCCACCACAACUGCUCCAUCAAUCCCUGCAUUAGUUGCAAUUGUUUUUGCAGGUGCAAGAAGUGCCUGUAAUGCAUCAUUGGUACGUGUUACUACAUGGGAGAAGAAAUUUCCCCUUAUAGUAAUUUAGAAACCACUACUUGGAGGGUUUCUCCAUGCUACGCCCUGCAUUUAUAACCAUUUCACAAGGAUGUCCAACUGUAUCACUAAUUAUGAAAGGAACCUUGGUCCGUUUUACAAGUCUUGUGCAAUAAUCUGCUUUAGCACAAACGCUGCAUGGUAACUCAUUCACAGACGCUGCUUAUUUCUAUUUGAGACGCAACAUUCACCAAUCCAAAUAAAGAAAUGAGCAUAAAAGGCACAUCUCACAAAAGAAAAGAAAGUCACCUUAGAUCAAAUCCUAGUGAGGCGAAAGUGUGAAGAAAAUAACUUUUGAAAAAAGAAAGGAACCGAGAACAGACCUUUGCAACAAUAUCAGCACCAAUCUUCUCAUUUUCAUCUUUCAUGGAAUUUUUUAUUGAGGAGAUCUGCUCCGAGAGAUGUACAUAUGUUGCACCACCACCAGGUACUAUCCCUUCAUCCAUGGCAGCAAAUGUAGCAUUCUUUGCAUCUUCAAUUCUGAGUUUCCUAUCUUCAAGUUCUGUCUCCGUGUGUGCUCCUACCUAAAUUUGCAUGCUAAACAAGUUAAAUCUAAAGAUAACUUUAAAAUAAAACACCAUCAAACAAAAUAUUAGAGUCCUGUCGUUUGUCCUAGUAUUUCUUAAGGAAAACAGGGCAGAAAAUUCAUCCCUGCUACUGAGCUAACGCUACACAAGGAGCCUAUGUCCUUAGCAGUAAUUCUUCACACUUAUAGCCAGAUUUGUCAAGAUGCCCAUCUAUUUUUCCGAAAUAUAUUGUAUACAACUUUAGCAAUUCUUUCUGAGAGCUUGAUCACAAACCUUGAUGACAGCCACACCACCAGAUAAUUUAGCAAUUCUCUCUGAGAGCUUUCUUGAAAGGGCAGCAUUAUCUGUUUCAGCGAGGUCCUUUUUUAUCUGAAGAAUUCUUGCCUGAAUUUCAGCUUUGGUAGCUGAGUCAGCAACUAUGGUUGUUGAAUUACUUGUUAUGGUAACUUUUCGUGCAAUGCCAAGUUGAUCCGAGGUUACACUUCCGAGUGUCAGCCCAAAAUCACCAGAGAGAAAAUCAGCACCUGAUGGUUUUGGUAUGGCAUGAAUUACACAGCAUAUCAGAUGCAAUGACCUUCCUAUGAUAGUCAUAUGAGAACAGAAUACAAUCUUGCGCAAGCAUCCAAGUAAAGAAUUUAUUAUUUGUAGUGCAUAAAAAGUAAUUAUAAUUUUUUUAAUUGAGGCCUCGGUACUGAUCAAAGGAUUUUACAAUCUUAACAAAGCAUCCAAGUAAAACAUUUAUUGUUUCUAGUGCAUGAAAAAGAGUAACAGUUCUUAUAAUUGAGGAGAGUAACGAUUCUUAUACUUGAGACCUAGGUAAUUAUCAAAGGAUAUCUUAAUUAACAUGAUAUACUCAAAAGUUUAUGCACCUGCAAGGGUCAUACACAAACAUAUAAGAACAUCCAGUGCACACAUAGGAAGGCUCGCAUAUGUAACACGAACCCAACUCACGAGGAAGAUAAAUAAUUCAUUAACUGAUAUGUCAAUAUAUUUCAAUAUAGCACAACUUACAAUAACCAAUUUAAGUUGGAAAGAAAGAUGCAAGUUCACCUGUCACAAGAGGUCACAAGAGCAAUGUCUUGCAACAAUGCUUUCUUUCGAUCUCCAAAUCCGGGGCAUUUGACAACAGCAACAUUGAGCAAACCUUUCAUUUUGUUCACCACUAGUGUUUCCAAAACCAGCUUUGAGAUAUCCUCAGCAAUGAUUGACAAUGGGACACUGAGUUGGGUAGUCUUCUCCAACACAGGAACUAUUUCUUGGACAUUUGCAAUCUUCUGAUCCGUUACAAGGACUUUGGCCUUGUCAAACUCCACCAAAGAUUUUUCCUGGUUUGUGAUGAAUUGGGGUGACAUCUAACCCUUGUCAAACUGCAGAGAAAGAACACCAAACUUAACUGGAAAUGAAAACAUACAUACUUCAUAAACAGAGAAAAAGUUGAAAAAUUUAUCCACUCAUAGGAGGCAUAGUGUUUACACAAGUAUUGCUACCCUGUUACUGAAAAUACAAAAUAGUUAACCUGGAAAGUACAAAGAGCAGAAGCUCAACCAACCUAAAUAUUUACAGAUAAUGAAUGGUUUAACCAUUCAGACUAUGACUAAUGAUAAAACAUAAAAUCAUAAACUUCUAACAUAAACUUUGAUGUAAUGCCAAUUUUCCAGUGAUUUAUCUGACAAGAUUUUACACUGUGUCUGGGUGUUGGGGUGUCUGGGUGUUGGUCCUCCAUGGUUGGUGUAACAGUAUUAAAUGUGCACGCUUCGGCAGGCUGGCAAAUAACCCCGUGACAGUUGGCCUCUCAACUCUAUAUAUGUUGACCUUGUCUAAAGCAACAUUUUUGAUCCAGCCCAGCCCGUACUGGCUGGGUCAGACCUAGCACAAACAAAAAGAAAAAGAAAAAGUUGAGGCCUGGAUGGGCCUGGUCCCCAGGCCCAACCAGCCCAAUUUGUUUUGGGCUAAAGACUUGUUUAUCAAAACACAUUUUUAUAUUUUACCCCUUUUAUUUCAUCUCUUUUUAUUUUGUUAUUUAGUCAAAUAAGUCUUUUUGGAUAUCAAAAAAUUAUGAAAACCUUUGUGGUCCCUCUUGAAUUUACUUUUUAAAGAUCUACUUUUUAAUAAUUAUUUAAUUUUUUAAAAAUCAUUACGGUGUCAGGAUACAACAAUACUAAGCAGGCAGCUUGCACAGUUUGUCAACUUUCUUUAGAAAUAACAGAAUAUUAGAUGGACUUCUAUAGAUGCUGUUGGGUAAUCCGGUGGUGUUUUAGUCUUAUGGAAUGAUAACAGAAUUAUUUUUUAUUUGAAAAUAUAUUGAAAUAUUUUUUUAUUUUUUAAAAUUUAUUUUUAACAUUAGUACAUCAAAAUAAACAAAAAAAUAAUAAUUAAUUAAUACAACUAAGCUCUUGAUAAAAUUAAUUAAUACAACAUAAACAAUAUUUUUAUGAUAAACAAAAAUGAAUUAUAAUAAGUUCUUGAUGUUUUUUUAUUGGUAAUGAUAAUAAACUUCUUUCAGUUUUGACAAAUUAGUAAUACAACUAAAAAUCUUGAGGAUGUAAUAAAAACCAAACUUAUCCUAAAAGAAGUGGCCUAUAUUGCUUUCUAUAUAUUUUUUUAAAUAAUUGACAAAAUUUUCAAAUUUGAAAUUUCAUAGCGAAUGUCACCAUUGAUAAAAAGACAAGGUUUUUGUUUUUUUUUAAAAAAGAAAUUUCACUUCAAGAAGGGCAAACUACAGUACAGAACUCUAGCUACAUGCAGUUGAAUAUUCCUUCUUCUCUGUAUCUAUUCAAAAGGAAAUCUUACACACACACACAGUAAUAUCUUUAAUACUCAUUAAAAAUAAUUAAUUUCAAACAUUAAUAAAUUAUUUUUAAAAAUUUUCUUAUAAUUAACAUGCAUGGCCAAAUAAUAAAAGCAAUUAUUUUAUUUUCCAUGAAAAUUAAUUUAUUUUUCAAUAAUCCUUUUUUUAUGAAAAUAUUUUAAAACUCAACAAACGACAGGCCUAAAUUAAAAACUUUUUAUUAGGAUAAACAAAGCCAGAUAACAACAACACACAAUAUCAGUGCCUCAAAUCUUAGAAAGAGUGGUUUAUAUUGAAGAAUACUACUUCUCGAAAUAAAACAAACUGAUCGGUCACUGUUAUUUAAUAUUCCAUAUUAUCAGCUAGCUGAAUUAAUUUGAUUUAUCUAAAUGAACCGACAAAAUAAGUGAAAAGGAAAUUUUAGACAACAUAUCACGUAACAAUAGUACCUGUCCAAAAUUAUAGUACACCUCCCCAGACGCCAUUGAAUAUUCAAUCUUCUUACAUACUGAGUGGACCAUGUAACACAACAUGGAAUGUCAAGCAGCUUCGUUCUUCCAACAUGAGUGGAUCUGUUUUUUGCCAUUGAGAAAUCCGAAUGAUGCAUGCCAAGAUUGUACUUAUGCAAUCAUUUUUAAAGUGGAACUGUCAAUCCGUAGUCAGGCCCACUUUUAUGACAUAGACAGAGAAAGCCCGCAGGACCAUUUUGAGCUACCUUCACCUGUUACAUCUACUUGUCAUUUUAUAAUUAUAAUAAUUAUUUCUUUUAUAUAUAUUUAUUUAUUUGGACCACAUUGUUCUCCUUACAUAUAAUUUAAGUUUUAUUAUAGUGAAUUCUCAAAUUAAAUUUUAAAAUUAUAAUAAUUAUUAUUUUUAAUUAUAUAUUAACUUGGAUUAUCUCGAUCUUUUCCAUAAGUAACUUGAGCUAUACCUCCAUCAAUUCUCAAAUCAAAUUUUAAAAUUAUAAUAAUAAUUUUUAUAAUAUAAUUUUAGAAAUCAAUAAAUAUUUAUCAUACAAAAUCACAUAAAAAAUAAAUGAUAAAAGAAUACUUCAUUUCUAAUGAAGAUGUUGGCUGGCUGGGUGGCUUUCUCUGCCUCCAGCCCUCAACCUUUAAUUGAUCUAUUUUUCUCGAUAGGUGGCACGAGUUUUUUCAUACGGUGAACUGACUUUUUUGUAAUAUAAAAAAACAAAAUAUUAUAAGCGUAUAAAUUAAAUUUUUCAUGGGAUUUUUAAUAGUACAAGAUUUGCAAAAAUAAAGUCAUGGAUCAACAUAACUUUGGUGUGAUUAGUUUACUUUUUUCUUUUUCUCUUUUUGUGUUUUCAAUUCUUGGCUGCUAUUUUUUUUUAUAAAAGAGUUGAUUUUUUAAAAAAAUAAUUUAUGAAAUUCAUUUUUUUCACAUGUCAAUGCAUCUUCAUCAAGCGAACAUUUUUCUCAAUCCUCAAGAAAAUAAAAACAAAUCAAAUAGAAUAAAAGUUUAGACAGUUUUUUGCAAUAUUCCAUCUUCUUUGUAAUUGUAAAAAAGCAAAUAUUUACAAAAUUUCCAGCCAAGAUGUUAGAAGAAACCCCACCAAAUUUAGUAUACAUUAGGUAUUAUGGUAGUAGUUGCUUUUUAAAUUAUUUUUUGCUAGAAAAUAUAUUGAAAUAUAUUUUUAUUUUUUUAAAAUUUAUUUUUAACAUCAAUAUAUCAAAAUAAUCUAAAAACAUAAAAAAAUUAAUUAAUACAACUAAGCUCUUGAUUAUUUUUUUUGGUAAUAAAAUUAAUUAAUACAACAUAAACAAAAUUUAUUUUUUUUGUUUUCUGAUAAACAAAAAUGAAUUAUAAUAAGCUAUUGAUUUUUUUUAUUGGUAAUGAUAAUAAACUUCUUUCAGUAUUGACAAAUUAGUAAUACAACUAAGAAUCUUGAUGAAGUAAUAAAAACCACUCCCAUUAAUUUACACAAUGAACCAAACCAAACUUGUCCUAAAAGAAGUGGCCAAUGCUUUCUAUUUUCUUAAAUAAAUGACAAAAUUUCCAAAUUUGAAAUUUCAUGGCGAAUGUCACCAUUGAUAGGUGAAGCCCAAAGACAAGGUUUUUUGUUUUUUUUUUUCAAACAUACAAUUGAAUAUUUCUUGUUCUCUUAUCUAUUCGAAAGAAAAUCUUACACACAUAUACGCUCUCUUGUGGACUGAAAAGUUUUUUAAAUAUUGUAGCUACAUUUGUUUAUAUUAUCUUAUUAGUUUUAAGCCGAAAUAGUAAUAUCUUUAAUACUCAUUAAAAAUAAUCAACUUCAAACAUUAAUAAAUUAUUUUUAAAAAUUUUCUUAUAACAUGGCAAAAUAAUAAAAACAAAUAUUUUAUUUUCCAUGAAAAUAAUUUAUUUUUUAAUAAUUCUUUUUUUAUGAAAAUAUUUUAAAAACCAGCAACCGAGUCCUAAAUUAAAAACAUUUUAUUAGAAUAUUCAAAGCCAGAUACCAACAACACACAAUAUCACAGCCUCAAAUCUUAGAAAGAGUGGUUUAUAUUGAAGAAUAAAACUUAUGGAAAUAAAACAAACUGAUCAGCCACUGUUACCUAAUCUUCCAUUAUCAGCUAGCUGGAUUGAUUUGAUUGAUCGAAAUGAACCGACAAAAGAAGUGAAAAGGAAAUUUUAGGCAACAUAUCACGUAACCAUUGAAUAUUCAAUCUUCUUACUUUGACCUGUACAAACUAUAGUCUUCCCCUCGCAAGACGCAAUUAAGUUUUCUGCGUUUUGUUUGGGUUUUUAUUUUGAAAGAGCACACUUAGUGAAAAUAAUAGCAAAGGAGCGCGCAUGGAGAGAAAAAUGGGCAAACUUAAGGGCGUGUUUGAUAUUGUGAUAGCUUUUGGGGUUGUGGUUUGAAAAAAAUAGUUUAAUAAAAAGUAUUUUUUAUAAGGUUGAUUUUAAAAAAAAUUGGUGUUUGGUUAAAACUGUGGUUGAAGUUGUGGUUUUAAAAAAAGCAGUUUCUUGUAUUUGGUUAAAAAAUUAUGGUUGAAAUUGUUGUAGAAAAAAAACAGUUUUGUGUUUGGUAAAACUGUGGUUUAAAACGCACUUUUCAAAAAAAUUGAUUUUUUUUUUGCUUUGAAUGAGUAUGUUUUUUAUGUUUUCAAAUCAUUUUGAUGUGCUGAUAUCAAAAAUGAUUUUUAAAAAAUAAAAAAAAAUAUUAUUGACAUGCUUUUUUUAGUGAAAAAUACUUCGAAAAGCAACAGUAACCACACUCCCAAACACGUAACAUGGUUUGUGUUUUAUAUUUGAUUUGAAUUAAUUAAAAGGACAUAUAUAGACACAUAUAUAAUUCCAAAACAUAGGUGUUUUGUAAUUAUGAUUACAUAACAAAAUGAAAAAUCCUUAUACAUUAAUGUACUCUUUUAUUGUUCCAUCAAACUAUUUGCAAUUCCAUCGCGUACAAAAUCCAUACAUGAAGGCCUCUGUAAGCCUUGAACGGCCGAAGCCUAAACAACAUCAGGUAAAAAGAUCUGGAAUUAAAUUGGGGUUGCGAUCAUACUCAGAAAAAACUGCAUCAUCUGGCGAUCUCCUUCUAAUAUAAUUAUGUAGUGCCAUUGAUGCAACUACAAUCUCAACUUUUGUUUUGUAUGGAUAAGCAGGCAUGUUUUGCAAAAUUUUCCACCUCUGUUUCCAUACCCCAAAAGAACGUUCGAUCACGUUACGUAGUGACGAGUGUGCACGAUUAAACACUUCUUUCCGACCACUUGGUUGUCCACGACGCCUAAAUUCUUGGAAGUGAUACCUCUCGCCUUUGUAGGGACCUAAAUAUCCAUACUCGUUUGGAUAUCCAGCAUCAACCAAAUAGUAUUUUCCUAAAAAAAAUAUCAUUGUAAUUUUAAACAAAACUUUUUUUAAAAAAUUAUAUUCCUUUAAUUAUCAAAUCUUCAAUUUAGUCAAAAUCACAACCUUCCGGAGGUUUUGGAAAUUGGAUAUUGCUAUUGUCAAUAGCCUCAAGAAAAAUACACGUAUCGUGUUCAUUGUCUUCCCAUCCUGCCCACACAAACAUGAAUUGCAUGUCGAAACUACAUGCGGCCAUGACAUUUUGUGUUGGUACACCUUUUCUUCCAAUAAAUGGAAUUUGAUUUGCAGAUGGUAUGCAGGCACGAACAUGUGUUCCAUCAAUUACACUGACACAAUUCUACAAGCCACAAAAAUAUUUAGUACUCAUAAAUAUUUAUAACAUAUUUCAUACUUCUUUGAACAACUUAAUUAAACUACUUAAUUAUACAAAAAUUCAUCUUACCUUGAAAUGUGGCAUAAAUCUUGGAUUCAUAGCAAUUUCUCUUGGUGUGCUCGUAAAUUGUGGAUCUUCUGGUUUUUUGACUUCCACAACAAACAAACAUAAUGAUUUAAGCACUUCUUUAAAACAUCGACUAAUAGUUUCACCUGAAUGCUGAAAUCUUUCCUGCACUUGUCUAUUUGACGCCCCAACUGUUAUUGUAAAUAGAAACAUUGCUACCUUUUCAAUAACACUCAUUCUUCUUGACGGUUUUAAGCCAUGGUGCGUUUCUAAUUCAGUGCACAAACUCAACAAAGUGGUUGCGUCCAUCCUGAACAUGUUAACACUUCGUUUCCAAUGCCCUUUUAAAACCUCCGUCAACCAACGCAUCCCUAUGUUAUAUGAAACCAUACAUGGUUCUUUAAACAUAUAAUUAAUAUAAUACAUGUUUAUAGCUCUAGCUACGCAUAUAAUUAUUUUUUUCCUAUCAAGAUGCCUCCUUAUAAUAAAUGCAUCAUCACCAUCACUGUCAUCGUCAUCGUCAUCGUCAUUACUAUCGUCGGAGUCGUUUCCAUUACUAUCAUCUCCAACACCAUCAACUGAGGCACCACUACCUUCACAACUAGGAUAAUUAAUUUGGUCUACAAUGCGGUUCAUUAUAUUAUCAUAAUUACCAUCGAAAUCUUCAUUAAAUAUGUCAUUAAAUCGUGGAUUAGCCAUAACUUCAAUUACAUGUAAAAAAGAAAAAAAAUAUAUGUUGUUAAUAAAAAAAUUUAAAUAAUUAAAUAUCAUUCAAUAAAAAAACUAUCAAAGAGUUGGUUCAACAUAAGUUUUUUCCAUACCUGUAAAGCCAACAAAAAAGAAGUAUUCUACUUGCUUGUAUUUGGUGCAACUGAGAGGUUUGAGAAGCUUGUUAUGAAGAAAGCUAUUUCAUUGAAAAAUAUGAUGCAAACAUUCCUCUUUAUAUAGAAAAUUUCAAUGCUCUUUACGUCUAUUUUACAAAUUUUCAGCUUUCAACAUAAGUACAUUCACAUGUAUGCAUGUGCUGUAAAAGUAGCAUAUAAUGUUACCUUUACAGCUCAUAUAUGUACACCAUCCUGCCAUGGAAAAAAGUAAAAACAGAGUUCCAAGUUACUGAAGCAGUAGGAUGACCAGCAACAAAGAAAAGUAAGAAACAACAACAACAUUAGUCCCAUUACCUCACGACAACAAUGAAAAAAACACAAACAGUAACUACAAAAGGAGUUGCUUUUUCAGACCUCACAAGAUCAUAGUAGCUAGCAAAUGGAAAAAAGUAAAAACAGAGUUCCAAGUACUGAAGCAGUAGGAUGACCAACAACAAAGAAAAAGAAGAAACAACAACAACAUUAGUCCCAUCACCUCACGGCAACAAUGAAAAAAACACAAACAAUAACUGCAAAAAGGGGUUGCUUUUUCAGACCUCACAAGAUCACAGUAGCUAGCAAAUGGAAACAAUUACAGCCAAUGAAAAAAUCACCUGCAACAUGUCAAGCUCACAGUAGCUAACCAAUUGAAAAAAUUCCAGCAAAUGAAAGAAACACAGCAGCUUGUAUUAUCAAACCUCAUGGCAGCAAAGAAAAAAGGAUCAACAGUAAAGGUAAAUUAUAAACAACAAUUUGUCAUUUUUAUUUGCCUUGGUUCAUUUUUAUCCGACCUCUCCCUUCCCUUCUUUAGCAUUUGACAGUGACUCCUAAAAGGGUAAACAAUGCAGCAAAUGUCAUCUUCUUCCUCUCCUUUUGCCUUUCAAAUAUUCCCUCCUUUGGCACACAUAAAUGCCGCCUAUUGAUAAUUCAUUCUUACUCUCGACCCUCUCUCCAUCUCAUACAAAGCUUAUCUCCUGGUUUCUCCAUUCAUGUCUAAUGUUUCCAGAGUUAGAUGUAUUCCAAAUCCACACAGGACAUACAUGAGCAUCUAGCUAGCUACCUAAUGGAAACAAAUAAAGCCAAUGAUGGAAUGACCAGCAGCAUGUCAAUCUCACAGUAGCUAACCAAUUGAAAAAAUUACAGCUAAGGAAAGAAACACAGCAGCAUGUAUUAUUAUUCCCAGCAGACCUCACGGCAGCAAAUAAAAAUAUAAAGUUAACAAAACAGUUAAGGUAAUUUCGAACAACCAAUUCAUGUAAAUUAACAACCAAUUCCAUUAAAGGGUCAACCAUUUAACAUUAACCAUUGAACAUUGUAAUUCAUAGAUAAAAUACAACAUUACAACCACCAAUUUCUCAUACAAGUUUGUUAACUCCCGUAAAGUAGUUUAAUAAAUAUAACAGUACAUAAAUUACCGCAAACGCAUAUGCUCAUAUGCCUUAAAAUCAAAUGUGGAAUAAUACAAUGCCUCGAACAAACUUCGGCAAAUGGAAACUACUCUUUUAAAAACCAACAUCCCAUUACUCUGCAGCAAAAAAAUAAACAUGUAUAAAUAUCGUAAGCACUUGAACAUACUUAAUUGAUUAACAGUUAAGAUACUUAAAUCAUACCAUGUCAGCUAAGCACGUUUAGUUCGUGCAUAUAUUUGCUGCAACCAUCUCAACUUCUGUUGCUUAUCGCCCAUACUGGCCCACAUUUCUCUUUUCCUUCUUGAAAUGAGAAACUCCGUAGCAAAGUCGUGGAAGUCAUCUUCAAUUGAAACUCCAGGAAUUGAGUGCAGCUCAGCCAUCACCUCGGGGAUGCUACAACCUUUGCGAUCCAUAUUAAUAGACGUCGAAUCACUCUUAGUCGACAUACUCUCAAGAAGAUGAUUGCACCUUGUCAGCAGUUGAACACCAAUUCCAGAUGUUUUCUUCUUUCUACAUCGCACAUCGACAUGAUCUCGUUCUUUUCUUUUGCCGCUGCUUUUUGUAUUGCUGCUGCUAGACAUAUUUAUCUCUCCAACCAUUCGAGCCAUGUUAGUCUGGAAAUCUGGAAUCACAUCUUCCUUCGAAUCAUCGCUGCUUUCUUCCAAACCAUCAUCAGCAAUGUCGGCAUUGCUUGUACCAGAAUCAACACCACUGCCGGCAGGUACACCUGAUGAAGGAGCUCAUGCAAAAGCUCCAGUUGUGACAAUGUUGGAAUACAUUCGGUCAAAUUUAUUCUUCAAAGAUGACUUAAUACCGACAUGUCUGAAUUUUUUAGCUCCUCUAAUUUCCUGCAUAUAAAUUAAAUCAAGUAAUGAAGGAUCAAUACUAGUAAAAUUUUAGGGCUGGAAUUUGAUAAUAAUAAAAUAAAUUGUUAGGAUGACAAGGAAUGUACCUGAAUUUUUUGUUUCCACCACUCAUCGCUAGCUGCAAUUGUGCCUAUUUCACUAUUCCAGCCAACACCGGUUUCAAAAACCAGCUUAUUCCAUAUCCUCCAAUCCUUUUUGCAUCCAUCCCAUUUGUUUUUCAAUUGUGUUUUAUUGAAUGCAUGCCUAGUUUGUUCUUUGAAUGAUGUUAUAAGAAAUUUCCACCCUGUUUUAUCGAAAUGAGUAUUAGGUCUCAUUCCCAUAUCAAUUGUCUUAAUGCAUAUAUCACAAAAUAUAUGCAACAUGUCUUUUGUCCAAACAGCCUUAUCAAAAGAUUCAAGACCUUCCAUGAUAUCUUUUAACACAUUUUAAAAAAAAUUGAAAUCAAUAAAUGAUAUCAAAUAAAUAGUGGCACAUACAUAAACCAUGGACUAAAACAAUAAUAAAACAAUAAAUGUUUAGCACAUACAUGUAUUUGAAUGGGAAUGUUCACGUUCAUUUAUAAUGAAAUCUAAUUGCAACCCAUUAAUUUUGAACUGCUCAGAAAACUCAGUUUCAGCCAUGAUAAAAUAUUUGAAUUAUCAAGCAACACUUCAUUGCCAUCAUGCUGUUUGGAAGAAAAAAACAGAGGGAAAAAACAAAUAGAACAGAAUAUAUUUGCUAAAGUACAUAAACAAAGAACAACAGACAAGCAGUAUAUAGAAGCAAUUAAAUUUUGCUAAAUUCAAAACAAUUGAUGAAGUCACAGUAAACAGAAGACAAUCAAUAACAACUAUGAAAUUUGUCAAUUGCAGAACACACGGUAAUUGAUCAUGCAGGUACACAGACAUGCAAUUUUUCAUCUAAAAAAAUGAAAAUGAAGAUGGAGAUAAGGCAGGAACUUACCUUAGUCUAUAGGUGUCCAGACCAGCGCAGUUCUGCAACUUUGUCCUACAAACAGAUACACAAUGGAGGCCCAGAAGAUAAAUUAGAUUUUGAGCGACGAUUACUACAAAAUUGACAUGGUAUAUCAACACAGUACACAAAAGCAUCACAGAAAUGAAGGUUUUCAAUUCCAGAAUAGUUUUUGGAAGUAGUUUCGAAGAGACAUAACGUAUUUUUUAGUUUAUUUCAUGAAUGGAGAAUAAAGGACUAUGCAGCAGUUUUUCCUAGCAAUGGGAUAAGUAUGCAUGUCUGUUUGUAACUUGCAUGGACUGUGAGCAGUAAAUCUAAAUUUGUAAUCGAAACAUUUGUGCUGCAUGGCAAAAAUCAAAAUAUUUCUGUUCAAAAUAGCUUUAAAAAGUUACUAUAAAUCUAAAGGAAUCAAGCAAACACAUAUAGAAUUACUUUUUUUCCCGGUUAAUCAGACCACUGAUGGGAUUACAACAAUUUAUAAAAAAAAGCUUGUAAAGAACUCUACAGUUUCAGAUUCAACAAUAAUCAGCACUAAUGCAUUAGCCAAGGAUAACUGUUAUUUUUUAUGUUUCUCAUCAUGCACAAAACAGUAGAGUCUAGAGCCAUUUUUUAGCCUUCGAAAAAGAAGAUAGAAAAACAAAAUCUUGAAAAAAAAAAAACUAAAACCAUUCAAGCCUCAGACCAUCCUAGUUCAUGCAUUUCAACAGCUAGGCAGAUCCAUAGACCUGCUUUCAAUGGAAAAUAGUAUUGUCAUCAUAGGCUACCAGCACAAUAAUAAAAAAAAACCCAUGAAAGCUGAGACUUGAAGACAUAAAAGCAGAAAGAUAGAGAGCAUCAAAUCUUCCUAUUCAAGAAGCUAAAUCAUAAGAACCGAAACCCAAAUAAGAGGCAGAGCAUUCAACAAUUCAAAAGAUUCGUCAUUUGCCUCUCUAGAUUGAAAAAAAAAAAACCAUGAAAAUAGUAUUGUCAUCAUUGGCUGCUAGUAAUUAAAAAAAACCCAUUGAAGCCGAGACUUGAAGACAAAAGCAGAAAGAUAGAGAGCAUCAGAUCUUCCUAUUCAAGAAUCUAAUCAUAAGAACCCAAACCCAAACAAGAGUCUGAGCAUUCAACAAUUCAAAAGAUUCGUCAUUUGCCUCUCCAGAUUGAAAAAUAAAUAAAUUCAAGGAAUUGUUUAAAGCAAUGCAAUAAUUAGAAGAGGGGAAGAUAUAGGGAGUUUUUGGAGAAGGUGAACGGCGGUUUAGGGCUGAGUUUUUCAGAAAGCCAUUAGUGUGUCGUUUAUAAAGAUUUACAAAUCAAAAAUUUGUAAUCAAGCAUGCAACAGCACAAACAUGAAAUACUUCAUCUAAAAAACCAAAAAUGAAGAUGGAGAUGAGGGAGGAACUUACCUCAGUCUCUGUCUUUUGCAAACCAAAACGGUGUAGCAGCUGUGUUCUACAAAAUAAAAAACAAUAGAAACCCAUUAGAUUUUGAGACACACGUUAAACAAAAUUGACAAGGGGAAUGCACAUUACCUGGUAUCUCUUGGUUUUUUUCUGCAAUUGUAACAAUGGAGGGACAGUCGAGUGACGGUUUGUGUUUGAAUGGACAGAGGGGAAGAAGUGCUCUGGCGUUGGUGUUAGGGAAAAAUAAAAACGGGGUUAUCAAGAGAAGAGAGAGGAGAAUAGUUUGGGGAAGAAAAUUUGGGUUUUUUAGCUCGUCAAAUUGAUCUGCAACCGUAAUUUUGGAGGUUGUUUACUGGGGAAAGUUUGGUGGUGAGAGAGAGGUAAGGAACUAAAGGUUGAAAAACAUUGAUCUGUGAAAUUUUGGGUUUGUUGUAACCGUUGGAAAAUGGUUUGCAAGUUGGGAAGUAAUUGCAAAUUGAUGAAAAAAGCAAUUGUAAAUUGUCGGUGAUGAGAGAGAGUAGAAACGCAUGAAAAGCAAAUUCAUUCUGCUUUUCACGUUUUACAAUUGAACCGUGAUUUUUAAUGGGACCCACAUCAAAAUAAAUUGUGUUUUGAAGUUAACCAAACACAUGUGUUACUGCUUUUGUAUAAACUGCAACCGCAUCAGCUUAGCCAAACACCCACUAAGAUGUUGUGCUUUUGAUGUUGCGUUGUUCUAAUCGACGUAACCUCGUCAUCUUGUAGCUAGGGCCACUUUUAUGAUAUGGACAGAAAAAGCCCGCACAACAUGGAUAAUUUGGGCCACCUUCACCUGUUACAUCAACAUGUCAUUCUUAAAUUAAAAUUUAAAAUUAUAAUAAUAAUAAUUUUUUAUAUAUUGACUUGAGUUGAUCUUCCUUACAUGUGAUUUAGGCCUUCCUCUCGUUGAUCUCUUAGUUGAAUUUUAAACCUAUGAUAAUAAUUAUUUUAAUUUAUAUAUUAAGUUUGGUCAUCUUAUGUCAACCCUCUCGAUCAGUGACUUGAGUUGUGCCUCGGUCAACUCUUUAGUCGAAUUUUAAAAUUAUAAUAAUAAUUUUUAUGAUAUGAUUUUACAAGUUAAUAUAUAUUUAUCAUGCAAAAUCACGUAAAAAAUACAAAAAAUGAUAAAUAGGACUGAAAUCGUGUAAAAUCAAUAACAUAAAAAAAAGUCACGAUUUUACGAUCUUACAAAUAAUUCCAAAUUCUUAUCUUUCUCAUUGCAUAUCUUUGUGUGUUACUCGCUAAUGCACCAGCCCCACAAGCACUUGUAUCAAUGGAUUCUUUCUUUAAUUAAUAGUACAAGGAUGAAGAAAAUAUAAUCUUGCUUAAACCUUUUUUAAUAAAUAAAAAAUUGUCUAUUAUGAGACAAGAUUUUGAAUAUUCUUAUUCUAUAGGGAUAUUUUUAUAGAUAAGAGUAACAAACCAUACUCGAAAGUCUGAUCUAUUAUAUGCUUAUGCUGAAAUACCAUAAUUGUUUUAACAAGUUUACAUCAUUAUGACUUCUCUAUAGAAAAUCUCAUAAUUUGUGUAAUAUAUGAUCUAAUAAGCAACCAAACUUCAAGAUUUUAAAAAAGAAAUAUCUAACUUUGAAUUGUUUGAUUCUUUCAUUUUAGUUCAUACAAAGCAUAAAACUCCUUAUUGAUCUACUCGUUGAAAUUUAUGGUAUGUAACAAAUAAUAUCUGAAACUUAUGAAAAUUUAUUAAUAUCUAAAAGAAAGCAUAAUGCGUUUUUGUCUCUACUGUCUUCAUCUUUUUUGUUACAUAACAGUAACAAAACACUAUCUUUUUACUGUUAAAUUACGUUUUAUUAGGAUAAGAAAAUUUAUGUUUGUUAUUUAACAAGUAUAUUUAUGUUUGUUAUUUGAUAAAUAUAAUUAUAUUUCUUAAUUUGAAUUAUUAUGUAGGGGUAUGACAUUAAAAUUUAAAAUUUAUGCAUGAGUAUGUUUGAUGUAAAGUGUUUAUAUUUAUUUUCUAAUGCUUAAAGGAUAUAAAAGGAUAAUUGCCUAAACCCCACUGUAAAAACAAUUGUCAUACAAAAAAUCCCAAACAUCUAACUCUUAAUCCAUUAACUAAUUUGUCAUUUUCAAUAUAUAUAAAAAAUUAUUUUAAGGUUUUAAAAAUAUCAAUAAAUUUUACUUAAUAAGCUUAUAUGUCAAUAAUAUUAUAUUUAAAAUAUUGAUAAUAUAUGUAUAGUUGCAUUUUAUAAAACUAAUGUUCUAUAUAUAUUAGGUAAACUUGAAAAAAAUAUAUUAAUAUUUUUUAUGAUAUAGAAAAAACAAUAAAAAGUGGUUUUUUAAUUUAUUUUUCUAAAAUGUAGGUUUCAAUAAAAUCACUUUUAAAACCGGCUAAUGAGGCCUAAAUCAAUUUUUUUUAUUAGGAUAUACAGAAUCAAAUGCCAACACACAACACCAGGGUCUCACAUCAUAGAUUUUUAGAAUGAGUGGUUUAUAUUAAAGAAUAAAAUUUCAGGAAACAAAACAAAUUAUAGAUUGGUCUAAAUUAAUUAGAAAUUUCCAGCUUGUCUCCUCAGUUGCUUGCAUUUGAAGUCAUGAAUACUCUGAUUUUUCAAGAUUACUUCUCAAUAUCUUACUUACCUUAAUUGAUCUUCUAGCGAAAGGAUACUUCAUUUCUAACGAAGAUGCUGACUGGUUGGGUGGCUUCCUCUGCCUCCAGCCCUCCACCUUUAAUUGAUAUAUCUUCAUCGAUAGGUGGCACGCGUUUCUCCACAAGGUGAACUGAUUUUUUUGUAACAUAUAAAAAAAUGAUGUUAAAACACUGUCAAUAUAUUUUUAAUAAAGAAAAUUCAUGAGUUAACAUUAUAAAAAGAAAAUAAAAAAUUUGAUUGAUUUGGUUAAUUCAUUAACUAUUUUCUUAUAUUUUUAUUUUUUUAAAUGAUUACGUUUUAACCUUCAUUAUAAAAUAAAAAGAUUUGAUUGACUUGGAUUAACUCAAGUUAACCCACUUGACUUGUGACUCGGUACUUGCCUCAAAUCGACUCUCGAGCCGAGUCUAAAAGCUUUGAGAAACAUCAUUAAGACCAGUUCCCUAAUUAAUUAAUAAAAUGUUGACUGAUGAAAUAAAUAAAAAUUUAAUUAUAUAAAAUGAUAAAAAAAUAACAAUUAAAAAAAAAAAAAAACCUAAUUUGAAAAAAAAAAACAACAUGACAACCUAAAUUUUUUAAUUAAGGGGUAAAAUUAAAAAUAAAAAUCAAAUUAAUAAAAGAAUCCAAAAAAAAAAAUCAAGAGAUUGAGUACCAAAUUUGAAAAAAAAAUCAAGAUUAGGACACAAAGAUAAAAUUAAAAACAAACUAAGAUUUGAUAAAAAAAAUCAAAAUUAAUAUCGUCAAAUUUUUCAAAAUCAAAAUCCAUCUCCACCGAAUCUUACUCGUGCAUUUAUAAUGAAACAAAAUCUAUCAUUUCUUUCCCAUAUAUAUACGUAUGCGGGGCAAAUCAUUUUAUACAUCCUUUUUAAGAAAUUAAACAACCAAGGCCAUGGCUUCCCACAUCUUUCUCUUUUCCACAACUUUUUUGGUUUUUUCCUUACUUGCUUAUGCUCCCUUCUUUGCUUCUUUUGCUUACUCGGCUAGUACUGGAGCUGCUGAAUUAGCAAAUGGAAGGAAGGAAGCGGAAGCUCUUUUAGAAUGGAAAGUCACUCUUGACAACCAAAGCCAGUCUCUCCUGUCUUCUUGGGCUGGAGACAGCCCUUGCAACUGGUUCGGAAUCAGCUGCAACAAGCCUGGUAGUGUCAUCAACAUAAGUCUGCCCAAUUCUAGUUUGAGAGGUACGCUUAAUAGCCUCCGAUUCUCUUCCUUUCCUAACUUGAUUGAGCUUAUCCUUCACAACAACUCCCUCUAUGGGUCAAUUCCUUCACAUGUAGGCACCCUUUCUAACCUCGCCAUCCUUAACUUGUCUUCCAAUAACCUUUCUGGCAACAUUCCACCAGAAAUUGAAAAUUUAGUAUCUCUCACUAUUUUAGAUUUGUCCUCUAAUAAACUAAAUGGUACAAUACCGGUAUUUUUAGAAAAUUUAAGAAGCUUAUCUAUUCUUUAUCUUUGGAAUAAUAGUCUUUCUGGUCCCAUUACUUUUAUUAGAAACCUGACGAGAUCUCUCACCAUUUUAGCUCUGUCAUAUAAUAAACUAACCGGUACAAUACCGAUAUCUUUAAAAAAUUUAAGAAACUUAUCUCAACUCUACCUUGGGGUUAAAAAUAUUUUUGGUCCCAUUCCAUUGGAAAUUGGAAAUUUAGAAUUUCUCACUAUUUUAGAUUUGUCGUAUAAUAAACUAACCGGUACAAUACCAGUAACUUUAGGAAAUUUAGAAUCUCUCACUAUUUUAGAUUUGUCGUAUAAUAAACUAACCGGUACAAUACUAGUAACUUUAGGAAAUUUAAGAAGCUUAUCUGAACUUAAUCUUUGCAAUAAUAGUCUUUUUGGUCCCAUUACUUUUAUCAGAAACCUGACGAGAUCUCUCACCAUUUUAUUUCUGUCAUAUAAUAAACUAAGUGGUACAAUACCGACAUCUUUAGAAAAUUUAAGAAACUUAUCUCAACUUUGCCUUGGGGUUAACAAUCUUUUUGGUCCCAUUCCACCAGAAAUUGGAAAGUUAGAAUCUCUUACUAUUUUAUCUUUGUCGUAUAAUAAACUAACCGGUAUAAUACCAGCAUCUUUAGGAAAUUUAAGAAGCUUAUCUGAACUUCACCUUAACAAUAACUGUUUUUUUGGUCCCAUUACUGUUAUUGAAAAUAUGACGAGAUCUCUCACUAUUUUAGAUUUAUCAUAUAAUAAAUUAAUUGGUACAAUACCGACAUCUUUAGAAAAUUUAAGAAGCUUAUCUAUACUUCACCUUGCGAAAAACAGUCUUUUUGGUCCCUUUCCUCCAGAAAUGAACAACCUUACACAUUUGUCUAUGUUACAAAUAUAUUCUAAUAGAUUUUAUGGAAAUCUACCACGAGAUGUGUGCCUUGGUGGAUUGCUUAGAUUUUUUUCUGCACAUCAAAAUUAUUUCACGGGACCUAUCCCAAAAAGCUUGAGAAACUGCAGCAGCUUGUUGAGACUCAGACUUGAGGGAAACCAACUUAGUGGAAACAUAUCUGAAGCUUUUGGCACACAUCCUCAUUUGUCCUACAUGGAUUUGAGUGAUAAUGAAUUGCAUGGUGAACUUUCAUGGAAAUGGGAGCAGUUUAACAAUUUGACAACCUUCAGAAUUUCUGGAAACAAAAUAUCUGGAGAAAUACCAGCUGCACUUGGAAAGGCAACUCAUCUACAAGCUCUUGACCUCUCGUCAAAUCAACUAGUUGGAGAAUUCCAAAAGAAUUGGGAAAUUUAAAGUUGAUUCAACUUGCACUCAACGAUAACAAACUUUCAGGUGAUAUUCCUUUCGAUGUCGCAGCGCUAUCUGAUCUGGAAAGGCUUGGCCUGGCCGCGAACAAUUUUAGGCAACAAUUCUUAAACAGCUUGGCAACUGUCAAAACUGAUAUUCUUGAAUAUCAGCAAGAAUAGAAUGACAGGGAAUAUUCCUGCUGAGAUGGGGUCUUUACAGUCUCUUGAAAGUCUUGAUCUCAGUUGGAAUUCCCUCAUGGGAGAUAUAGCGCCAGAGCUUGGACAGCUGCAGCGGCUAGAGGUAUUAAACCUCUCCCAUAAUAUGCUGUCUGGUCUCAUUCCAACCAGUUUUAGUAGACUGCAAGCCCUCACUAAAGUGGAUGUAUCCUAUAACAAGCUAGAGGGUCCCAUUCCUGACAUCAAAGCCUUUCGCGAGGCACCAUUUGAAGCAAUUCGCAACAACACCAACCUGUGUGGCAAUGCUACUGGUUUGGAGGCUUGUGCUGCUCUCAUGAAAAACAAAACUGUGCACAAGAAGGGCCCCGAAGUUGUCUUUAUGACUGUAUUUUCUCUGCUGGGUAGUUUGUUGGGCCUGAUUGUAGGUUUCUUAUCUUUUUCCAAAGCAGAAGAAAGAAAAGGUUAGUGGAAACACCACAAGAGAUGUUCCGCGAGAUGGUGCCCUGGUGGGGAUCUGCGCUACGAGGACAUCAUUGAGGCUACUGAGGAAUUCGACUCCAAAUAUUGCAUUGGUACUGGAGGGUAUGGAGUUUUACAAAGCUGUACUUCCAUCAGAACAAGUCCUUGCCGUGAAGAAAUUCACCAAACACCAGAAGUUGAGAUGAGCAGCUUGAAAGCUUUUAGAAGCGAGAUUGAUGUCUUAAUGGGUAUACGGCAUCGAAACAUUGUGAAGCUGUAUGGUUUCUGCUCGCAUGCCAAACACUCAUUUUUGGUAUAUGAAUUUGUGGAAAGGGGAAGUUUAAGAAAGGUACUGAACGACGAGGAACAAGCAGGAAAGAUGGAUUGGGAUAAAAGGAUGAAUCUUAUCAAAGGCGUAGCCAAUGCUUUAUCCUACAUGCACCAUGACUGCUCCCCUCCGAUUAUUCAUAGAGACAUUUCCAGCAACAAUGUUCUUUUGGAUUCAGAAUAUGAGGCUCAUGUCUCUGACUUCGGCACAGCCAGGCUCCUCAUGCCUGACUCGUCCAAUUGGACGUCAUUUGCUGGCACCUUUGGGUACACAGCUCCAGGUAUGUAGUUAAGUUUCAAUAUCACCUUCUACAGUAGGUUAGCUUACAAAAUCACUUGAAAACAAAUAUAUAGCAUGACCAGCCUCUUUAAUUUGCAGAGUUGGCAUACACAAUGAAAGUGGAUGAAAAAUGUGAUGUGUAUAGCUUUGGAGUAUUAACAUUGGAAGUAAUGAUGGGAAAGCAUCCUGGCGAUUUCAUCUCAUCUCUGAUGUUUUCUGCCUCCACCUCCUCAUCAUCACCAAUUGGUCACAAUACAGUCUUGAAGGAUGUCUUAGACCAGCGCCUCCCACCUCCUGAAAACGAGCUUGCGGACGGUGUGGCACAUGUUGCAAAACUGGCGUUUGCUUGCUUGCAGACCGAUCCCCACUAUCGGCCAACAAUGCGACAAGUUUCUACAGAGCUUACAACUCGAUGGCCACCAUUGCCAAAGCUAUUCUCCACGAUGGAAUUGGAAGAUAUAAUGGUUCACAGAAAUGUUAUUGGCUGAAUUUUUACAGUAUACUUUCCUGUCAAGGAGCCAGUAGCUCAGCUGGUAAUAGAGUCCCCGUCCUCUCAAGAGGUGUUAUUGUCAGUCCAAAGUCUUACAUUUCGUCUAUUUCUUCGCCUACUGCUUGUGUAUAUUAAAUGCAAGAAACAGAGUUUUCUCAUUUCGAACUUAAAUUCGCCAGAUGAAAUAUUUCACAUAUUUUUAGUUUUCGUGAGCAACAAUGGAAGAAAUCAACAUAUUUUCUCCUCUUUUUUUUUUUGUUUUCCAAUAAACGAAAAUGAAUUAUAAUAAGCUAUUGGUUAUAUUUAUUUUUAAUUGGUAAUGAUAAUAAGCUUCUUUCAAUAUAGCCAUAUUAGUAAUAUAAUUAAAAAUCUUGACGAUUUAAUAAAAACCACUCCCAUUAAUUUCCACAAUCAAACAAAACUUGUUCUAAAAGAAGUGGCCAAUGCUUUCUAUUUUUUUAAAUAAUUGACAAAUUUUCCAAAUUUGAGAUUUCAUGUGAAGCCCAAAGACAAGGAUUUUUUAUUUUUUAUUUUCUCAAAGGAAACUUCCCUUCAAGAAUGGCAAACUUCGUACAGUUGUCGUGUCAUUACUAUUCAAAAGGAAAUUCUGGACUGAAAAAGACAACCAGAACCAUAGCAUCAUUACCUAAGAAACUUGUCCCUGCUAAUCAGAUUCUUCUCGCAAGCAGGUGGCAAAACUAAAUUUAAUUAUCUACUAUUCAUAAAUAAUAAAUAAUUUAAUUAUAUUUAUCAUAUAUUUUAAAAUAUUGUAAUAUCUAUUAUAACUAUAUUUAUUUAUAUCAUCUUUAUUAUUUUUAAACAGAAAUAGUGAUAUCUUUUACACAUUAAAAAUACCUAACUCAAAUUCUAUAAAUUUUAAUAGCUUUUCAACUUUAUAACCGGAGCUUAAGAUUUUUUAUUGAUUAAAAUUUAAAAUUGUUUAUUAUAAAAAUAAAAUAAAAAAAAAAGUAAUAAAAAAUAAAUACUGUAUUUAUUAUCCAGAAUUUGAGACCAUUGACUGUGACAUUAGUAAGUUAGUAACCUUUGUUCUUGCAUUGGUGAUGGGCUUGAGGGUGAAUGUGACAUUAAUAAUUGAUUAAAUUGGAAAAAAAAAGAGGACUGUUUUGUAAAUGGUGCCGAAAUUCAAGGGUUCAAUUGCAAUUUGAUCCAGGUGUAAAAUGAAAAAAAGGGGGAUUUUCCAUGAUUAGGGGCCUAAUUGCUAAAUUUCAGAAUAUCAGGGGUCAAAUUGAAAAUAACCAUUUUGGACUAAACGACGCCGUUUCGUGUCCAAUAUUCAUCACCUUCUUCGUGGAUUAAUUCAGCAGAAAGGAAACUGCCUCAAACCGGUUGCAAUCAUGUACCACGUCUCCUACACGAUGCAUCUCCAAAUAUGCCUCACCCCCAUGAUCAUUGUCUGGGCAGAAAGAGAGGACAUUCAGAGAAAAGACCACAAAAAAGGGGGCGCCGAGCUUUCUGGACGGGGGAGAGACGGUAGAAAAAAACGAAAAAACCAGAGGAGGAGAGAACGAACAGGGGGGGGGUUUCGGAAGCUGAGAAAAAUCACAGAAAACACAGAGAGAACACAAACAGAGGAGGAAAAAAACCAGAGAACAGGGAUGUAAACAGAGGACAGACGAAAACAAAAGAAAGGGAAUAAAGGCCAGAGAGAAAGACCAGAACAGGUGUGACGAUUCAACAGGAUUAAGAACAACUGAAUUUUAUUCCAAGUGAAUACUGUCACUUUUACAAAAGCUUUAAGUGCCAAAAAGAGUAAUACAAGGUAUAUUUGAUGAUCAAAUUAGUUUCAAUGACUGAAAAUAAAUUGAAAUUAAACUUGACUAGGAUGAGAGCAAAUUCACCCGAAUUUCUCUCUUUUCACACACACAAAGUGUAUUGUUCUUCUUCUCUAGUUUUUCAUUCGGUUACAGUGCAUUAUAUGCAUGCAAGGUGCUCGUCCGUAAUUGCAAUAAAAGACUUUACAAGUUUCUUACACGUGUCUAUUGACACGUUACUAAUUGAAAAAUGAAACGGCGCGUUUGUGAAUUGAACUCUUUUCUCGCUAUGGCUCUGUUCAAAUCUAUUCCCCUGUUUCUUCAAGAUUCAUCGUUAGAAGAGUUACUGUUGGCAGCAUGUAACAACAGGAGGACACAACUCGAGGGGACGAACAGCACAGGGGAGACCUGGAAACGCAAACAGAGGCGAUCGAACAGAAACAAACCAGGAAAUAAAGAACAAAGAAAGCAAAAGAAAAGCAAGAAGAGGGGAGGGUAACAGAAGCAGAAGGGAGGGUAACAUCAGCUAGAAAGAACAAGCCUCCAUCAGUGGAGGGUAAUAGAAACUGUGAACAAGGAAUUUGAAAAUUGGACUGCAAAUCAGUAGCGGUCCGGAGACUCUAUUUCGGGUAUGGUUUUUUCUCAUAUCGUUUUAAACAAGAAAAUCUACUUUUGGAAUUGUUUUUGUUUGGGUAUGCUAGCUAAACGUCAAGCUAUUAAAAAGAUGCUUAUUCACCAUGAGAUUGAUGUUUGUUUUCUACUUGAGACUAAGCGGGCAGCCUGCACAGAUAAAUUUUGUCAACUUUCUGUGGAAUGAACAGAAUAUUAGAUGGACUUCUAUAGAUGCUUUUGGGAAAUCCGGUGGUGUUUUCGUCUUAUGGAAUGAUAAGACAUAGAAUAUGGGGGACAGUGGAUUGCUAUCUUUGGUGUUCAUUCUUCUUCAGAUUUUGCUUGUGCCGUAGUGGGAGUCUAUGCAGCUAGUUCAGUUUUUGAACGACGAACUUCCUAGAAUGAGCUUACCAUGCUAAAAUCAGCCUUUGAAGUGCCCAUGUUCUUAGUAGGGGACUUUAAUGAGACCUUACACCCAAGUGAAAGGAGUAGUGGGUUCUUAAAUGUUACUGGUUCAAAGGCCUUCGAGUCUUUUCUCUCUAAUUGCGACUUCAUUGAGUAUCCUCUUGCUGGGCAUCGUUAUACAUGGUUUUGGGGCAGAUCAAUGAGCAGAAUAGACAGAAGUCUUGCAUCUCCAUCUUGUCUCUUGCAAUUUCCUUUACUGUCUUUGACUAUAUACCCCUAGAGGACUGUCCGGUCCCUGUCAUUUAGUUCUUGGCCAGAUUCGUGAGAAUUGGGGGUGGAGGCCAUUUUGUUUUAUGAAUUGUUGGACUGUCUUGCCACGAUUCAUGAAAGAUCUGGAGACUUUCUGGAGAGAAUGCGAGCUAAAACAUCCUGGAAAUUUCGCACUGGUUAAGAAAUUGAGUUUGUUGGCACAUAAAUUUCGAACCUGGAACCAUGAUGUCUUUGGUAAUCAGGAUAGCAGGCUUCGGGAAUUGCAGGAUAAAAUACAUAAGUUGGAAGAAGAAAUGGAGGUCCGUGACCUAUCAGAAACUGAGAGGAUCGAAUUAUAUGCCUUAACAAACAAACAACAAUGGGAUGUUAGCAAACAUGUUGAAGCUAUUUGGAGGCAAAAAUAAAGACAGAACUGGUGUAAAUUAGGGGACAGGAAUACAAAGUUCUUCCAUCUAGCUGCAAAAGUGAGGACAUCUCGAGAUUAUAUUACGAAGAUAACUCACGAUGGGAUCACCCAUAACACACCGCAAGGAAUUAAAAAUGCUGUUGUUUCAUUCUUUUCUAUGUUAUUCUCUAAACCCAAGACAGCAAGGGUUUCAAUGGGAGCCAUGGGUUAAAGACACUAUCUAUAGAGCAAUCCAUUUGGCCUGAGAAGGAUGCAACUACAGAGGAGGCAAAGCAAGCUGUUUGGGACUAUGAUGGGUCAAAGGUUUCAAGACCAGAUGGAUUUACUUUUACUUUCUCAUGUAACUAUCUAGAAAAAUAAAUUUUCACAGUAUAGACCAAUUAGUCUGUGCAUGUUUUAUACAAAAUUAUAUACACAUGCAGGGCAAAUCAUUUUUUAUAUAUCCUCCAUAAGAAAUUAAACCACCAAGGCCAUGGCUUCCCAAAUCUUGCUCUCAUCCAUACCUUUUGCUUACCCACGUUAAUUCAAAAAAAAAAAAAAAGAGUUUUCCCAUUUCGAACUUAAAUUCGCCAGAUGAAAUAUUUCACAACGGAAGAAAUCAACAUAUUUUCUCCUUUUUUCUGUUUUCCAAUAAACGAAAAUGAAUUAUAAUAAGCUCUUGAUUUUAUUUAUUUUUAAUUGGUAAUGAUAAUAAGCUUCUUUCAACAUUGCCAUAUUAGUACAACAACUAAAACUCUUGCUCUCAUCCAUACCUUUGUUGUUUAUUUCUUUACUUGCUUAUGCUUCCUUCCUUCCUUCUUUUGCUUACUCAGCUACUGGAGCUGAAGUAGCAAAUGGAAGGAAACAAGCAGAAGAUCUUCUAAGAUAUUAAAACGGGAAAAUCUAUUAAAUAAUAAAUUCUUGUUUCUUAUUCGAAACAAGAAUGCCUUGUUUUUUUUUUUUUUGGAAAAAAUAUUUUUUUCAAAAACAUGAAGAAAAAUAAACACGCGAUUCACAUCCAAGUCAAGGACCGACAGUAUGCAAAUAGUCUUCAUCUCUUAAUAAUCAGGAGUCAUGGAAUGGUGGGGUACAAGCUAGCUAUUAUUAAUUGUAAAGUUCGGAUUUGCACAUCGUAGAUAAAACCUAAAAUAAUUCGGGUAAUUAAGGGAGAGAGAUAGAGUUAGAUUUGUUGUUUAACACAAGCAAUGAAAAACUAGGAGAAAAAACAAGAAAAAUAUAUAAAAAUGCUUGAAGGAUGAUCACCCAAUGCAGGGUUUAGUAUUUUUUUUUUAAUCAUGGAAUAUAAUCAUCUUAUUAUAAAAGCACAUAAUGGUGCAAAAUAAUAUAUCUCUUUUUAUGCAACUUCGUCCAAUAAUCAUUUAAUUUGACCUUCGAAUUUGCAUUUUUUCUAUUCUUGAGCAUAAUGGGGUACAAUUAGGCCUUGAAAUUCCUCCAAAAAUUAUAGCUUGAUUUUUGUCUAUUUUUGCAGUUUUUUUUUAUCACCUUUCUCCACAUUGCUAGCUUUUAUUUUAUUUUUUGAUUUUUAUUUUAAAAAAAAAAGUGAAUUUUGAGGAAUAAUCCAAAAUUGGGUUAUGACAGCUUCCAUUGUCAAAGCCAUUUUCCAUGGCAGAAUUGAAAGAUGUGAUGAUUCACUCCCUUCAGUAAUAUUUGAAGACUGUUUAUAUAGCAGAUAUACUAAUAUUUGAAGACUGUUUAUAUAGCAGAUAUACUAACAGAAAAACCUCAAGUAAAAUCUUCAACAAGUCACUUGACAAGUUGAGUGUUGAAAAUCAAUGAAAAUGAAUAUACACACAAAGGAAAAUCGAUGAAAAGUAUUGCAUCGUUACUCACUGAUCCUUACGCAAAGCUGAAUAUGAAACUUAUUAAUUUUGCAGAAUAAUUAUCAUAUGAUGUUCAGCAGCAUGUCUAAGAAAAUUGCCCUAAUGUAAAAAAAAUAAAAAGAAGAAGAAAGAAAUAAUAAUAAAAUAAAAAGAAGAAGAAAGAAAUAAUAAUAAAAUACAUUGAUUCCUCUAUUUUUUUGGACAAAUUGAACCCAAUACACCUAAUAAAAUUCUAUCGUUGGGUCAACAAGUCAACUGAUUGACCAAGCUUAAGUCUAAAGAUAGCUGAAUCCUUUGAUAUUUUAAUAGGAAAGUCACGGUGAGAGAAGAAAAAGAGAAAAGAGAGACAACAAUGUUCCGACAACCUUUUCUUUAAAUACCUAGAUUAAUUAGGUUGGAUUUGUGCUAAAUUUUUGCCUUGGAUCUGAUGGGACAAAACAUGGGUCUCACAAUUAUGGUAAUUACAUGUGAAUGCGAAUGAAGCUGAAAAUGUGAAACACGAGAAAGCUGUAGAUUCCAGAAUUCGUGAAAAACAUACAUUGGUUGACUUAACGUUAUGAGCUUUUGAGAUUUCACAUGAAUGGAAGACCAUAGUUAGGGAACUUAAUUGAAAAAAAGUAAAGCUUCUUUUUGACCAUCCAAUAUUUUUUGAGACAUGAAAACUAGAAAAGCCUAAUAAUAAUAAAUAAAAUAAAUGAAUAUUUCUUUACUUGCUUAUGCUCUCAUCCAUACCUUUGUUGUUUAUUUCUUUACUUGCUUAAGCUUCCUUCUUUACUUCUUUUGCCUACUCAGCUACUGGAGCUGAAGUAGCAAAUGGAAGGAAACAGGCAAAAGCUCUUCUAAGAUAUUAAAACGGAAAAAUCUAUUAAAUAAUAAAUUCUUGUUUCUUAUUCGAAACAAGAAUGCCUUUUUUUUUUUUCAAAAACAUGAAGAAAAAUAAACAUGCUAUUCACAUCCAAGUCAAGGACCGACAGUAUACAAAUAAUCUUCAUAUCUUAAUAAUCAGGAGUCAUGGAAUUGGGGGGUACAAGCUAGCUAUUAUUAAUUGUAAAGUUCGGAUUUCACAUCAUAGAUAAAACCUAAAAUAAUUCGAGUAAUUAAGGGAGAGAGAUAGAGUUAGAUUUGUUGUUUAACAAAAGCAAUGAAAAACUAGGAGAAAAAACAAGAAAAAAAUAUAAAAAUGCUUGAAGGAUGAUCACCCAAUGCAGGGUUUAGUAUUUUUUUAAUCAUGGAAUAUAAUAAUCUUAUUAUAUAAGCACAUAAUGGUGAAAAAUAAUAUAUCUCUUGUAUUUCAUAAAAAAAAAAUCAACCGAGAAUUAAUGGAUCCAUAGCUAGCUGAAACCCCAACAUAAAUAUUCUAAUAAUUAAUUAUGACAAAUACACGUGCUCCUCCUAUCACGCAAUUAUUGAAUGGAAGACCAUAAUAUUCUACACCUCUUCAGACGCAAUUGUUUUUAUUAAAAGAUUAUUACUAUAAAAAACAUAGAAAAGUAACCUGCAUUGUUUCUAUAAAAAAAUAAAUAACAAAAGCAUAACAGACCAAAGAAUGUUGUUCCACACUUGAAAGCUUAAGUUUCGAUUCAUUUGAUUGAUAUAACAAAAGCAUUAACCACGUGAAUGUUGGUACACUCGAAAUUUCAUGGGAAACAUCACCGUAGGUCCAUAGCUGAAGCCCGAAGACAUCCAAUCAAGAAUGGAAGACGUACUUAAUUUCAAGACCUGUAAAAUUAGUCGAGAUACGCGCAAGUUAGCUGGAUACCACAUUAAUUUAAAAAAAAAAAAAAAAUGGAAGACGUCCAGCUGUCUAUCUUCUUAAGAAAUCUUCGAUCAUGACCGAGACAAAUGAAUUCCUGCAUAUAUAUACGCAUGCAGGGCAAAUCAUUUUAUACAUCCUUCUUAAGAAAGUAAUCCACCAAGGCCAUGGCUUCCCACAUCUUUCUCUUUUCCACACCUUUUUUGGUUUUUUCCUUACUUGCUUAUGCUUCCUUCUUUGCUUCUUUUGCUUACUCGGCUAGUACCGGAGCUGCUGAAGUUGCAAAUGGAAGGAAGGAAGCGGAAGCUCUUCUAGAAUGGAAAGUCACUCUUGACAACCGAAGCCAGUCUCUCCUGUCUUCUUGGGCUGGAGACAGCCCUUGCAACUGGUUCGGAAUCAGCUGCAACAAGUCUGGUAGUGUCAGCAACAUAAGUCUGCCCAAUUCUAGUUUGAGAGGUACGCUUAAUAGUCUCAGAUUCUCUUCCUUUCCUAACUUGAUUGAGCUUAUCCUUCAGAACAACUCGCUCUAUGGGUCCAUUCCUUCACAUAUAGGUAACCUUUCUAACCUCUCCAUCCUUGACUUGUCUUUCAAUAGCAUUUCUGGCAACAUUCCACCAGAAAUUGGAAAUUUAGAAUCUCUCACUAUUUUAGCUUUGUUAUUUAAUAAACUAAGUGGUACAAUACCGAUAUCUUUAGAAAAUUUAAAAAGUUUAUCUCAACUUUACCUUAAUCAUAAUAAUCUUUCUGGUCCGAUUACUUUUAUUGGAAACCUGACGAGAUCUCUCACUCAUUUAAUUUUCUCAUCUAAUAAAUUAACCGGUACAAUACCAGCAUCUUUAGAAAAUUUAAGAAACUUAUCUGAACUUUACCUUUAUAAUAAUAGUCUUUCUAGUUCCAUUACUUAUAUCGGAAACCUGACAGGACCUCUCACUAUUUUAGAGUUGUCAUAUAAUAAACUAACCGGUACAAUACCGUCAUCUUUAACAAAUUUAAAAAGCUUAUUUGCACUUUUCCUUGCGGGUAAUAAACUAACUGGUACAAUACCAAGGUCUUUAGGAAAUUUAACAAGCUUAAGCAUCCUUUCCCUUGCCGAUAACAAUCUUUGUGGUCCGAUUCCUCCAGAAAUGAACAACCUUACACAUUUGUAUGGGUUACAAAUAAUUUCUAAUAGAUUGUCUGGUAAUCUACCACGAGAUGUGUGCCUUGGUGGAUUACUUUCAUAUUUUGGUGCGUUUGACAAUUAUUUCACGGGACCUAUCCCGAAAAGCUUGAAAAAUUGCAGCAGCUUGGUGAGACUCAGACUUGAGAGAAACCAACUUAGUGGAAACAUAUCUGAAGCUUUUGGCACACAUCCUCAUUUGAACUACAUGGAUUUGAGUGAUAAUGAAUUGCAUGGUGAACUUUCAUUGAAAUGGGAGCAGUUUAACAAUCUGACAGCCUUCAAAUUUCUGGUAACAAGAUUUCUGGAGAGAUACCAGCAGCUCUUGGAAAGGCAACUCAUCUACAAGUUCUUGACCUGUCGUCAAAUCAACUAGUUGGGAGAAUUCCCAAAGAAUUGGGAAAUUUGAAGUUGAUUGAACUUGCACUCAACGAUAACAGACUUUCAGGUGAUAUUCCUUUCGAUGUCGCAUCGCUAUCUGAUCUCGAAAAGCUUGGCCUGGCCGCGAACAAUUUUAGUGCAACAAUUCUUAAACAGCUUGGCAAGUGCUCAAAACUGAUAUUCUUGAAUAUGAGCAAGAAUAGAUUCGCAGGGAGUAUUCCUGCUGAGAUGGGGUCUUUACAGUCUCUUCAAAGUCUUGAUCUCAGUUGGAAUUCCCUCAUGGGAGGUAUAGCACCGGAGCUUGGACAGAUGCAGCAGCUAGAGGUAUUAAACCUCUCCCAUAAUAUGCUGUCUGGUCUAAUUCCAACCAGUUUUAGUAGACUGCAAGGCCUCACUAAAGUGGAUGUAUCCUAUAACAAGCUAGAGGGCCCCAUUCCUGACAUCAAAGCCUUUCGCGAGGCACCAUUUGAAGCAAUUCGCAACAACACCAACCUGUGUGGCAAUGCAACUGGUUUGGAGGCUUGUUCUGCUCUCAUGAAAAACAAAACUGUGAACAAGAAGGGCCCCAAAGUUGUCUUUUUGACAGUAUUCUCUCUGCUGGGUAGUUUGUUGGGCCUGAUUGCAGGUUUUCUUAUCUUUUUCCAAAGCAGAAGAAAGAAAAGGUUAGUGGAAACACCACAAAGAGAUGUUACCGCGAGAUGGUGCCCUGGUGGGGAUCUGCGCUACGAGGACAUCAUUGAGGCUACUGAGGAAUUCGACUCCAAAUAUUGCAUUGGUACUGGAGGGUAUGGAGUUGUAUACAAAGCUGUACUUCCAUCAGAACAAGUCCUUGCCGUGAAGAAAUUCCACCAAACACCAGAAGUUGAGAUGAGCAGCUUGAAAGCUUUUAGAAGCGAGAUUGAUGUCUUAAUGGGUAUACGGCAUCGGAAUAUUGUGAAGCUGUAUGGUUUCUGCUCGCAUGCCAAACACUCAUUUUUGGUAUAUGAAUUUGUGGAAAGGGGAAGUUUAAGAAAGGUACUGAACGACAAGGAACAAGCAGGAAAGAUGGAUUGGGAUAAAAGGAUGAAUCUUAUCAAAGGCGUAGCCAAUGCUUUAUCCUACAUGCACCAUGACUGCUCCCCUCCGAUUAUUCAUAGAGACAUUUCCAGCAACAAUGUUCUUUUGGAUUCAGAAUAUGAGGCUCAUGUCUCUGACUUCGGCACAGCCAGGCUCUUAAUGCCUGACUCGUCCAAUUGGACAUCAUUUGCUGGCACCUUUGGGUACACAGCUCCAGGUAUGUAGUUAAGUUUCAAUAUCACCUUCUACAGUAGGUUAGUUUACAAAAUCACUUGAAAACAAAUAUAGCAUGACCAGCCUCUUUUGCAGAGUUGGCAUACACAAUGAAAGUGGAUGAAAAAUGUGAUGUUUAUAGCUUUGGAGUAUUAACAUUGGAAGUAAUGAUGGGAAAGCAUCCUGGCGAUUUCAUCUCAUCUCUGAUGUUUCUGCCUCCACCUCCUCAUCAUCACCAAUUGGUCACAAUACAGUCUUGAAGGAUGUCUUAGACCAGCGCCUCCCACCUCCUGAAAACGAGCUUGCGGACGGUGUGGCACAUGUUGCAAAACUGGCGUUUGCUUGCUUGCAGACCGAUCCCACUAUCGGCCAACAAUGCGACAGUUUCUACAGAGCUUACAACUCGAUGGCCUCCAUUGCCAAAGCUAUUCUCCACGAUGGAAUUGGAAGAUAUAAU